rnacentral:lncRNA from 1 species
AUGCGUAUAUGAUCUUACAAUAGUAGAGUAUGAUUUUAAUCAAUUCAUCGAUUGAAAGAGGUAUACAUGAAAGUAUUUGUCUCAUGAAGGAACCCUAGUGACUUGUUAAUUAAUUUUUUUUCAUUAUCAUCAUUACAUUUUCUCAAUUUUAAAGCUAGUUUUUCAUUUAGAAAUUAAGUUCUCAUCUUAAUCUAAUAUUUGAAAUGAUAAUUUAUCCAAUUGUAAUUGGAAUUAUAUGUAGGUAUCAUCCAUCUUCAAGUAGACUCAAUUAUUAAUAAACAUUAUUGGAAUGAAGACCUCUGUUAAUCUCUAAGUAUGGUUUGAUCAUUUAGACAUUAUUUUCUCAUGCAGGGUCUGUUAUUGUAUGUUUUUGAUCAAAUUUCAGACCUUUAAUGAAGUUCUUAUCUCAAUAGCUUAGUUCUCUCUUACACACUAUAUAUAUUCAAUGCAUCAAUGAGUGAGGUCUUCAUCAACUCAAAGUCUUGUUUGUAUUUCUUCAACUGGCCAUUAUGGAAAAUGAUUUUAAUUCUGAAAUUUUCUCUACUAAAUUCAAUGUAAGUACUCACCAUUAUCAAUUCUAUAUUUUGUAAUUCCUCCUUCACAUGGCAUGACGAUGGAUUACAAAUAUCAACAAUCAAACAAAACCAAAUGAUCAUAAUAUAUGCUCAACACAUUGUUUCAAUCACAAUUCACUUUGAGAUCACUCUUGAGUGACCCAUCUAGCUAGCACAAAGGCCUUUUAAAACUAUAUUGUUCUUUCUUUUGGAUUACUCCACCUAUAUGAUCACCAUUGAAAUAAUUUUCAUUAAAAAAAACUUAGAAGAAAAGAAAGGACUCAUAUAUGAAAAUAUUGUUAAUUUAUGUGAUACUCAAUUUUUAGUUUUAUUUAUUUGGGAGCGAAGCUGAGAGGGUUAGAAUCACUUCCCGACAUUUAGACAAUUACAAAAAUUAGGUGUUUAACAAAAUUUCAAAAAUCACUUUUAAAGUUUUAAAGAAUCAUUCAAGUGAAUCUUGAACUAGUAUUUGAUAAAUAAAUGUUUGCUCUAAAAAUCACCUAAUUGUUAUGGGGAGGGGCAUAUUGGGCUUUGCAGGGAUGGAUCUGCCUGAGGAGGUAUGAAGUAGUCUGGGAUUUGUCUAGUUUCGGAUGGGCUCACAAUGGGCUUUGAGCAAUAGUUUUGGGCUUGGAGUUGGUUGCCUGAGCCCAUAAGUACUUAUUUUGCAUUCUUCUUCAUUCAAUGUUAAACCUAUAUUCUUCACUGUUUUCAUGGAUCAGAAGCUUGUGCUGCCAUUCAUCUGCCAACUCAUCUGAAAGAUUUUGGGAUGCCUUGGAUUUCCAGUAUAUAGCAUAGAGCACAAUCUGAGCUAUUCCAAGAAUGAAUCCAAUCCCAUUUGGUACCUAUAAUUUAGAACACCAUGCCCAAAAAAAUUGUUUCAAUCAUAACUAUAUUGUGUGCUUCAUUAAAAUUCUUUCUAGGAAGUGAAAUCAAGACCAAAGGACAAGGAAGGGAUGUUGAUCCAUCAUCCUUUAUGUAUGUUUAACCUUAUUAGCAAAUUGAAGUACUUUCAAUUAAUAACUUUCAAAAAAAUCUUAAACCUUGCUUGGAAAUUGUUCUUAAAAACAGUUUUUUAUUUAAAAAGCAGAAAACGGUUUUCAAACUUACAAAACAAGUCUAAUAUUUUUUUUAUAGAAACCAAUUCUUUAAGAAUUUGUUACGAAAAUAUGUUAAUUUUAAAAUAAAUUUGAGAUGUUUUUAGUUUUUUUUUUGUAGCAUUUUAAGUAAUAACUAAAAAUCAAUGUUUUUAAUUAGAAGCGAAGGGGUCAUUGAACCGAAAAAUUAAAUUAUUGGUUUAAGGUUCAUCGAUCAGACAGAUUAUUAAACUGCAAUUAAACUAAUGAUGUCAUAAAUAUAUAAUUUAUAUAUUAUUAAAAUUAAAAAUAAAAAUAAUAAAUUCUACAGAUUGAUAACUUCUUUUUUAUUUGUUGAGCUUUUUCACAAAUUUUUUUAUCUGUAAAAGUCACCGUAUGUCAUAAAAUUAUUUGAAAAUCAAAAAAUUAUUUUUAAACCAGAAAAUCACUUUCAAAUAUGAAAUUUAGAUUAAUUAAAAUCAGAAUUUUAAUUUAAAAUUAGAAAAUUUAAAAUUUAUUUUUAAAUUAUAAACUUAUUUUAAAAUCAUGAACUUACACAAUGUUUUCAUAAAUUUAUUUAAAAUCACAAUGUUUUCACUUUUCAAAAGUAUGAUUCAUCAAUUUAAAUUAAAAUCACAAAUUUUAAAAAUCAAAAAGUUAAAACAAAUAGAAAUGUAAAAUAAAUUAUAAUGGAAAUAAAGUAGAUAAAUUACAAAGAAAAUGGGAGGGGAGACUUACAGUUACAACCGGGAAUGAGACUACUAAUGGCAUCCGCGGUGUCCCCAUCAGCCAGCGACGUCGAUGCCGAUGUGCUCUAGAGCUUGAAGGAGGCGCAUUGGACUAGAGCACGAAAGGCGCUGGGCGGCUAGGGGAGGGCAAUGGCGCAUAAGGGUUGGAGUGGGAAGGGGGGAAGGAGAUAAGGUAAAACGUCAUUUGUUUUGAAUCUAUUCGAUUCAUGAAGAACCAUUUGAUUUAGCCAAUUCAUCAAUCCGAUUGCCAGCUCCAGUGCUUCACGGUUGGCUCAAAGGGUGACCAGUUCAAAAGGUCAAAUCGAAUCGGAAUGGUGAUCAGCCAAUAAUCAAACCGAUCAAAAACAGUUCAAUCCGAUUUGGUUUUCAAAACACAGCUAAAAAUAUGAAGAAUGUUUUGGGAAUUCUUACAUUAUAUAUAAAUAUAUAAUAAUUUCAUAGAAAAUGAAUUGAGAAAAAUAUUUUCAUAUUAAAGUUUUCAAAUAGAAUUUUGCUCUUAAAAUAAACAAAAAUUAUGUUUAAGAAUUGUUCACAAUUUUUUUUUUAUUUCAAAAUUGUUUUUAAAAACUUUCCUAAACAUGUCCAUUUAAUUACUCCUGAUCAACCCUAGGCAGAUAAAAUUAAUUAGGGUUUCGAGCAAUAGAUUAGCUAGUGGUACCAUUUGUAGAACAUGGAAGGGUUGAAUUAAAAAAAAAAAAAAAAAGACCCUUAAAAAUGUCAUUUUCACGAUAUUAAACAAUAGAUUAUAUAGUAGUACCAUUGUAGCAUAUGGAAGGGUUAAAUGCCAAAGACCCUUAAAACAUGUCAUUUUCACAACAACUUUACAUGGGUUUUUUCCCUUUAAUGGACGAGGGUGAGAGCUUACUCCAACGAAGAAGUCUUUCACAAGGAUAGCUCUCACUAAAGGAGUCUUUCACAAGGAUGACAUAAAAAGUCUAAAUUAUUCCAUUUAACGGAAGGGAAAAUAACAUAAGCAAAGACAUAUACUUUAUGCUUUUUGUCAUCACCACCUUUUUCUACAAAUUGACAUUUUGAUGCCAUUUUUAAGUUUUGAUAUUAAAUACAUCUACUUUUCAAUAAGAGAAAGAGAGAGUUCAACCUUAAAAAUAAAAAAUAAAACUUCUAGUUAACAUUUUUGCAAAGGGUGAAGCAUACAUUAAUAUAUUUAGGAUUGCAUACAAUCCCAAACACAUGAAUUUGAAUUAGAUUAUAUGAUAAACUUGUUAUUUUAAUUUUAGUUAGUAGAGGCUUAUCCCCUCAAACAUCAUGGCUAUAUUUGGUUCUCAAAAGAUUUGAGGGAAAAUACUGAGGAAAAAUAAUAGAACAGAAAAGUAGGAAGAAAUAAAAUAUGAAAUAAAAUUAAAAAAAAAAGAUUAAAGUCUAUAAAUUAUUUUUAUCUACUUAGUUAAACUCAUUUAUAAUAUUUUAACUAAUUUUAAUUAUAUUUUUUUAUAGUGAAACCAAACAUGAGAAAAUCACUUUUUUAUUAUUUUUUUCUUUCAUUAAUAUUUUCCAAGAAUCAAACAUAGUCUAUUUAUAUUACCUUCCACUGCCUUAGACUACUAAAAUACUUGUUGUUGAAAGUAUAUAUAGUGAAACCAAACAUGAAAAAGUCACUUUCUUUAUUAUUUUUUUAUUUUCUUAGUAUUUUUCAAAAACCAAACAUAGCCUAUUUGUAUCACCUUCCAUUGACUCUUUUUUUUUUGGACUACUGAAAUACUUGUUCUUGAAUGUACAUAUAUGAGGAAGAAAGUAAUGUAAAACAUCGAUUUAAAGCCCAUUUGACUGUGAAUUUUAGGAAACGCUUUUAACAUUUUUAACACUUGAAAAAUUUUAUCAUUUAAGUGUUAGAAAGAUUCGAAACGUUUCUUAGAAUCAAUGGCAAAAGCACUCUUAAUUUCUUUUUUCAUCAUCAAUGGGAAAGAUCAACUGUAAAUUAAAAACAGUAAUUCAUUAAAAUAAGCACAACCCACAUAAAUCAAUCCAGAAAACGAGUCAGAAAUUAAAGUACACAACUAAAUUCAAUAGUCUACUAGUUAAGGAGAAACAGAAGGAUUUAUCGUGUUCCUGCUUGCUUGCUUGCUUGCCUAGGAAGUAGGAAAGCAGUUCAUGCCACACACACAUUGAGGAGAUUCCUCAAAGUCCUUAAUAUGGAACCUGUCUCUUGCCACCCCCGCAGAGAAAUGAAUAUGAUUGUCACGCCGGAGGAUCUCAACAAUUUUUCUCCACUUAUGAAAGAACAUCACACUAACACCUUCCAAGCUAGAUAUCUUGCCGUUUGAUAUGUAACCUUUGAUAGUGGGCUCGUAUUUCAAACGGUAUCCUCCUUCAUAGACGCUGCAGCUAUCAUUGAGAUAGGCUGAGAAUUCACCUGUUCUGUGGUUGAGCUUGUAGCCUGUCACCACCUCUUCUGGAAGAAGGCCAACUGGGAAGUUGUAGUCCUCAAGAACCUCGUAUGCUGUUGGGAUUUCAGUGAAAGAGUUGACUAGAGUCAAAUGUAUCAGGAUUAGGGAGAGGGUUGCUGCUAGAGAAAUCGAUAAUCUUUGGCUUGUGGCUGAAUCCAUCGAUCUCCCUUUCGGUUUCUUCUUCUUCUUCUUCUUCUUCUUCUUCUUCUUCUUAUUUGAAAUUAACCAAGUUUGGGGGGUUCUCUUAUAGCUUUUCGAUUAAGGCUGAAGUGGAAGCCGAAACAAUAAAUUCAAAGAGCAAUCUACUGUCAUCACCACCUUCUUGACAUUUUGAUGCCAUAUUUAAGCUUUGAUAUUAAAUACAUCUACUUUUCAAUAAGAGAAAGAUAGAGCUCAACCUUAAAAACUAAAAUUAAAAAUAAAUAUAUAAAUAAAAACUUCUAAUUAAUAUUUUUGCAAAGGAUGAAGCAUACAUUAAUAUAUUUAGGAUUGCAUAAGGAUUCAAUGCCAAAGACCCUUAAAACAUGUCAUUUUCACAACAACUUUACAUAGGUUUUUUUUCCUUUAAUGGACGAGGGUGAGAGCUUACUCCAACGAAGAAGUCUUUCACAAGGAUGACAUAAAAAGUCCAAAUCGCUCCAUUUAAGGGAAGGGAAAAUAACAUAAGCAAAUGCAUAUACUUCAUGCUUUUUGUCAUCACCACCUUCUUCUGCAAAUUGACAUUUUGAUGCCAUAUUUAAGCUUUGAUAUUAAAUACAUCUACUUUUCAAUAAGAGAAAUAUAGAGCUCAACCUUAAAAAAUAAAAAUAAAAAUAAAUAAAUAAAUAAAUAAAAACUUCUAAUUGACAUUUUUGCAAAGGGUGAAGCAUACAUUAAUAUAUUUAGGAUUGCAUAAGGGUUCAAUGCUAAAGACCCUUAAAACAUGUCAUUUUCACAACAACUUUACAUGGGUUUUUUUUCCUUUAAUGGACGAGGGUGAGAGCUUACUCCAACGAAGAAGUCUUUCACAAGGAUGGCAUAAAAAGUCCAAAUCGCUCCAUUUAAGGGAAGGGAAAAUAACAUAAGCAAAUGCAUAUACUUCAUGCUUUUUGUCAUCACCACCUUCUUCUGCAAAUUGACAUUUUGAUGCCAUAUUUAAGCUUUGAUAUUAAAUACAUCUACUUUUCAAUAAGAGAAAGAUAGAGCUCAACCUUAAAAAAUAAAAAUAAAAAUAAAUAAAUAAAUAAAAACUUCUAAUUAACAUUUUUGCAAAGGGUGAAGCAUACAUUAAUAUAUUUAGGAUUGCAUAAGGGUUCAAUGCCAAAGACCCUUAAAACAUGUCAUUUUCACAACAACUUUACAUGGGUUUUUUUCCUUUAAUGGACGAGGGUGAGAGCUUACUCCACCGAAGAAGUCUUUCACAAGGAUGGCAUAAAAAGUCCAAAUCGCUCCAUUUAAGGGAAGGGAAAAUAACAUAAGCAAAUGCAUAUACUUCAUGCUUUUUGUCAUCACCACCUUCUUCUGCAAAUUGACAUUUUGAUGCCAUAUUUAAGCUUUGAUAUUAAAUACAUCUACUUUUCAAUAAGAGAAAGAUAGAGCUCAACCUUAAAAAAUAAAAAUAAAAAUAAAUAAAUAAAUAAAAACUUCUAAUUAACAUUUUUGCAAAGGGUGAAGCAUACUUUAAUAUAUUUAGGAUUCCAUACAAUCCCUAACACAUUAAUUUGAAUUAGAUUAUAUAAUAAACUUGUUAUUUUAAUUUUAGUUAGUAGAGGUUUAUCUCCUCAAACAUCAUGGCUAUAUUUGGUUCCUGAAAUAUUUGAGGGAAAAUGCAAAGGAAAAAAGUGGAACAAAAAAGUAUGAAGAAAUAAAAUAUGAAAUAAAAUAAAAAAUAGAUUAAAGUGUAUAAAUUAUUUUUAUCUGCUUAUUUAAACUCAUUUAUCAUCUUCUAACUAAUUCUAACUAUAUUUUUCAUAGUGAAACCAAACAUAAGAAAAUCAUUUUUCUUAUUAUUAUUUUUUUUUUAAUAUUUUCCAAGAAUCAAACACAGUCUAUUUAUAUUACCUUUCACUACCUUUUUUUUUUAACGAGACUACUGAAAUACUUGUUGUUGAAGGUGUAUAUAGUGAAACCAAGCAUGAAAAAGUCACUUUCCUUAUUUAUUUUUUCUUUCCUUAGUAUUUUUCGAGAACCAAAUAUAAUCUAUUUGUAUCACUUUCCUUUGACUUUUUUUUUUUAGACCACUGAAAUACUUGUUCUUGAAUGUACAUAUAUGAGGAAGAAAGUAAUGUAAAACAUCAGUGUAAAGCCCAUUUGACAGUGAUUUUUAGGAAACGUUUUUAACAUUUUUAACACUUGAAAAAUUUUAUCAUUUAAGUGUUAAAAAGAUUUGAAACGUUUUUUUAGAAUCAAUGGCAAAAGCACUCUUAAUUUCUUUUUUUCAUCAUCAAUGGGAAAGAUCAAGUACUGUAAAUUAAAAACAGUAAUUCAUUAAAAUAAGCACAACCCACAUAAAUCAAUCCAGAAAACGAGUCAGAAAUUAAAGUACACGACUAAAUUCAAUAGUCUACUAGUUAAGGAGAAACAGAAGGAUUUAUCGUGAUCCUGCUUGCUUGCUUGCUUGCCUAGGAAGUAGGAAAGCAGUUCAUGGAACACACACAUUGAGGAGAUUCCUCAAAGUCCUUAAUAUGGAACCUGUCUCUUGCCACCCCCGCGGAGAAAUGAAUAUGAUUGUCACGCCGGAGGAUCUCAACAAUUUUUCUCCACUUAUGAAAGAACAUCACACUAACACCUUCCAAGCUAGAUAUCUUGCCGUUUGAUAUGUAACCUUUGAUAGUGGGCUCGUAUUUCAAACGGUAUCCUCCUUCAUAGACGCUGCAACUAUCAUUGAGAUAGGCUGAGAAUUCACCUGUUCUGUGGUUGAGCUUGUAGCCUGUCACCACCUCUUCUGGAAGAAGGCCAACUGGGAAGUUGUAGUCCUCAAGAACCUCGUAUGCUGUUGGGAUUUCAGUGAAAGAGUUGACUAGAGUCAAAUGUAUCAGGAUUAGGGAGAGGGUUGCUGCUAGAGAAAUCGAUAAUCUUUGGCUUGUGGCUGAAUCCAUCGAUCUCCCUUUCAGUUUCUUCUUCUUCUUCUUCUUCUUAUUUGAAAUUAACCAAGUUUGGGGGGUUCUCUUAUAGCUUUUCGAUUAAGGCUGAAGUGGAAGCCGAAACAAUAAAUUCAAAGAGCAAUCUACUGUCUAAUUGAAUGUGAAAUAAUUUUAUAAUAAGUUUAAAAAAGGGGUUUAAGUAAGAAACAAUAUUCUCCUAUCCUCUAUCUUAAAUUUUUAAGUCAACAAUAAUUUCAAAGAGCAAAUCUUUGGGUAACCACAAUUUAAUUGAAUGUAAAAUAACUUUUAUAAUAAACUAAAAAAUGGGGAUUAAGUAAGAAGCAAUAUUGUCCUAUCUUCUAUGUUUAAUUUUUAAGCGGAAACAAUGAUUUCAAAAAAAAAAAAAAACUCUUUAGGUCAUGACAUUUUAAUUGAAUGUGAAAUAACUUUUAUAAUAAGCUAAAAAAAAGCUUAAGUAAGAAACAAUAUUAUCGUAUCUUCUAUGUUAAAAUUUUUUUAAUUGAAACAAUAAUUUCAAAGAGAAAUGGUUAGGUAAUGAUAGUUUAAUUGAAUGUAAAAAAAAAAAAAAAAAGGAGGGGGGGGUGGUUUAAGUAAGAAGCAAUAUUGCCCUAUCUUCUAUGUUAAAUUUUUAAGCUGAAACAAUAAUUUCAUAGAGUAAUUUAAUGACAAUUUAGUUGAAAAUGAAAUAACUUUUAUAAUAAGUUUAAAAAAAAGUACAAGGACUUAGGUGAGAAGCAAUAUUGUCCUAUAUAUCUUAUAUGUUAAAUUUUGAAAUUGAAACAAUAAUUUCAAAUAGCAAUCUUCAAAUAAUGAAAGUUUAAUUGAAAAUGAAAUAACUUUUAUAAUAAGUUAAAAAAAAAGUACAAGGACUUAUGCGAGAAGCAAUAUUGUACUAAAUAUCUUCUAUGUUAAAUUUUGAAAUCGAAACAAUAAUUUCAAAUAGCAAUCUUCAAGUAAUGAAAGUUUAAUUGAAUAUAAAAUAACUUUUAUAAUAAGUUAAAAAAACAAGGGUACGGAGACUUAUGUGAGAAGCAAUAUUGUCUUAUCUUUUAUGUUAAAUUUUUAAUCCCAAACAAUAAUUUUAAAUCACAGUCUUCGGGUAAUGACGAUUUAAUUGAAUUUGAAAUAACUUUUAUAAUAAGAUUAAAAUAAAAAUGAUAAUAAGACUAAUGUAAGAAGCAAUAUUAUUCUAUCUACUAUGUUAAAUUUUUUUCUUAAAUUAAAAACUCUUCCUAAAAGAAAAAAAAAAUACUCGAAUGCAUCCAAAAUGAUUUAUUAAUUUGGCCUAUUAUGGGGGUAUCUCGACCUAGGACUAAAUGGAAAGAGGUUGAGUGGGCUAGGGUUUGUCUAGUUGGGGACCUUAGGUUGGCCUCAUAGUAUGCUCUGAAUGAUGGUUUUGGCUCAACCUUGCACAGACUAGUUCAUCAUUAAGGUUGUUGCCUAAGGCCCCCUCUAAAAAAGAGCCUUUGUAUAGCUCUUGGGCUUGGAUUAUUAAGGAAUAGAGACAAUAUUACAAAUAAAAACCAAGAGUUGGCAUAUCCCAUUGUUGUAUGUAUAUGGUUCAAAUUAUCUAGCCUUUCAAUUAAGCUUUUACUAAGGGCACAUUGGGCUUGGCAUGCGGGGUUUGUCUUGUUUCGGAUGUGCUCAUAUUGGGCUUUGAGUAAUGGAUUUGGGCUUGGAGUCGGUUGUCUGGGCCCACAAGUACUUAUUUUGCAUUUUAAUUUUAUAAAUAGAUUAAUUACUUGGAUAGGCCAAAGCACUUAUAAAUAAAUCACAAAAAUUAAAAAUAAGUUACACGUAUGAAUUGAAAAAAAAAAAGCACUUUGGAUUCAUCUUCAUUCAAUGUUGAGCCUCUACUCUUCACUGUUUUCAUGGAUCAGAAGCUUGUGCUGCCAUUCAUCUUCCAAGACAUCUGAAAGAUUUUGAGAUGUCUUAGAUUUCCAAUACAUGGCAUAGAGCACAAUCUGAGCGGCUCCAAGAAUGAAUCCAAUCCCAUUUGGUACCUGUAAUUUAGUGUUAACACCAUGCCCAAAAAAUUGUUUCAUUCAUAAGAUAUGUAGUGUGCAUCAUUAAAAUUCUUUCUAGGAGAAGAAAUGAAGACAAAAGGAGAAGGAAGAGAUAUUGGCCCGUGUUGAACCUUACUAAUGAAUUGAGGUACUUCGCAAUGAAUGUAACCUCUAAGAAAAAUCUUAGAACUUGUUUGAAAAUUAUUCUCGAAAAUAAUUGUGUAAGUUUCUUAUAGAAAAAAAAAGUUUUAGAGAAUUGUUGAUAAAAAUAUUAUUUUUAAAAACAAAUUUGAGACAGCUAUUUUUUUAUGGUGUACUCAGCAACAACUAAAAAUUUGAAGGAUAUUUUGGGAACUUUCACAUCAUACAUUAUAGAAAAUAAGUCAAAAAAAUUAUUUUUCAUAUUUAAAAUUUCAAAUAAAUUUUGUUAUUGAAAAUAAAUGAGAAUUAUUUUUAAGAAUUGUUCUUAAAAUUUCUAUUUUUCAAGAAUUAUUUUGUAAAACGUUCUAAAAUAGAUCCUUCAUUUCUCAACCCUUCAAAAUUAAUUAGAGUUUUUGAGCAAUAGGUUAGCUAGGAGUACCAUUCCAAGGACAUGGAAGGGUUGAAUUCAAAAGAAAACCCUUAGAAAUGUCAUUUUUCAUGGCUUUCGAGCAAUAGAUUAGCCAAUAGCACCAAUUGUAGCAUAUAGAAAGGUUGAAUUCAAAAUAAAAUGUCAUUUUAUAGCAAUUGUAGAUUAUUUUUUUUCCCAUUUUUUCUUUCUUUCUACUUUAAUGAACAAUGAUAAGAGCUUACUCCAACGAAAAAGUCUUUCACAAGGAUGGCAUAGAAAGUCCAAAUCGCUCCAUUCAAGAGAAGGAAAAAAGAUAGAAGAAAAGGCAUGUAUUCCACACUCUUUGUCAUCACCACCUUUUUCUGCAAAUUGACAUUUUAAUACAAUAUUUAUGCCUUGAUAUUAAAUACAUCUCCUAGUCAAUAAGAGGAAGAUAGAGCUCAAACCCAAAUAAAAAGCCACUCAUUUUAAUCAACAUUUUUUCAUCAAAAAAUUGAUCAACUUUCAUGUAGAUCAAUCAAAUAUAUACCUCUAGAUUCUUACCAUGGCUGUAAAGGGUGAACCAUACAUUAAUAUAUUUAGGACUGCACAAACAAUCCCUAAUACAUCGAGCCGUAAAUCUCCAUCCAUGACGAUAAGAGUAAUCAGAACCACACCUGCUGGAAAUCCCACAUUCAAAGUCACAACAAGUAUGGCAGUCUUGGCCUGAAACAGAUACAGUAUAUGACAAAGAUCAUGAAUGGAUGAAAAAUAUGCAUAUGCACAUAUGAUCAUAGUCAUAUAUGGGGAUAUAUAGUUGUAAUAUGACUGUAUACAACUUUACCCUCAUUCUUGUAGGUGCAAAUAUGAGGAAUAAGAUUACAUAAACGAGCUCGAUGAUUAUGCCAAAACCAUUGACAGUGGCUAUCAGGAGGCCUCCAGACUUCAUGAGUCCAUAGAAAACCCACAAGGAUGAAGUUGCUAAUGAGCUAACAUAAGGGAGGCUCUCAAACUCCUCGGUCGAUCGAUGUUUUACUAUUCGCGAGAACGUCGGCCUGCAAAUUGCAUUUCAAGUUUUUCGCCAAUUGUAAGCAAUAUUAGAAACUAAGUACUUCAGGACUCUUGAAGAUACAUAUACUAAUAUCACUACUCACACAGGAGAAAGCAUGUACAGUACAGAAAUGAUGUUCCCUGAAAAGCAAAUUAAGCCAAAAGAUCAACCAUGAUUCUCCCAUUGGAUAUGGCCUAAAACCCUGCACAUAUAUAUCCCAAAAAGAGAUAAUAUUCUCUAGAGAAUUGAAUUGGGGUCUUACCUAUUACUCCAGAAAUGAAGCUUAGGGUUGCCAUGUUGAUCAGGAAAACCUUGAAUUGGGAAAAGAGAGGAGAUUGAAGAGAAAGGGCUGCAGCUUCCUAUAUAGCUCUUUUGUGCUUGGUUUGAAGGGAGAAUCCUUGAAUCACCUAUCUAGGAACCAAGGUUCACCUAAUGUCAACAUUAAAAUUUUCAUUUGAGAAAGAAAAUGAAAGAAAAUUAGCAGCCAUGCUUGAAAUCUUUAAUUCAUUUAGGCCUGUGAGACUUCACCUAAUCUUUAUUUUUAAUAUUAUUAAUUCAAACCAAAAUUAACCAUGCAAGUGUAUGUAUUUUUUAUGGAUGAUGAUAACAAAGUCCAUGGAAAUGCUCUAUUGAACUUAUUCUUCAUGUCAUUUUCCCCAUUUUUGUUCUCACAAAAAUAAUUUUUUUUUUUUUGGCUAAACCAUACAUUAAUUAGUUAAUUUUAGAGAAGAAUUCUUAAAAAAUAUUCCACUAUUACUCUAUAUAUUAAUCAAAAAAUUUUAAAAUAAUCUUGGAUAUUAAGUUAAACAAUUUGCUAGUCAAGUGGGUUGCACCAAAGAUUAUGAUUUUGAUGUUAAAUUUAUUUUUAUGUGUAUUAUAACAAUAAAGAUAGUAUGUACGUUUCAUCUUCGUAUAUUAAACCCUUCUUGUAAAGAAAGGUGAUCAAAUCCUUAAUCCAACGGGUUUAAUUUAAAAACUUACACGUCCAAGUGGAAUUUUUUUAUUGAAUUCUAAUCCAUAGACGCCAACUCGUAUGCCUAAGGGGAAUCCUUUUUAUCAAAUUCUAAUUUUUAGAUUCAAACCCUAUGCCUAUAAAUUAUGUUAUGGACUCCAAUCACCACAAGAUUCCUUAGUAAUUUUUAAAUGAAAAUAAGAGAGAGGCAAGUUAAGGUUCAGUUAGAUAAAUUUCUUGUUUUUUAUUUUUUUAAAUAGAAAAUUAUAGUAGUUCAUAUAUAAAGUACAAAAAUUCUUUAAGACUCAUCUUGUGGGAGUUCAUUAGUCUGGGGACCCAAGAACUAUGGUUAUAUAUAGCUCUUUUGGAAGUGAAUGAGUGGGAAGAAUCGAUCAAAGGUUGUAAUUACUAACACCAAAAUAUUUACUAUGUAAAAGGCCACUCGAUUAGCCAGGUAAAAGUCCUUUGCAAAGCAUAAAAAUGAAAUAUUAUGUAAGGAGAUUACUUGCUAAAAGAUUAUACAAGUCGUGGCUAAAGUUGCAAAAAUAAGGGCUUGAAUACCACUUGUAAAUUUUAUGAAUCUAACUCUAAAAAAAUUGUUUAAAAUUUAAAAAUAUUUUUAAAAAAAUCUUUAAAAAAUGUAUUAAAAAAAAUUACUAUCUCAAAUCUUAAAAAUUUUAUAAAUAAUUUUUACAGACAUAAGAUGAGUUUAUAUUUUUGUAAAACAAUUAUUAUAUUUUAUGGUGGAUUGUGAAACCUAAAUCAGUUUUGUUACAUUUCACUUGAGAUGUCGAGGAUCAAGCUGUCCGAUUAGCUUGCGAGGGGCAAGCUCCCUAUAGAUCUCUCGAGGAUCGAGUCGCCCAAUUAGCUUGCAGGGAUUGAAAGGGGUAGCACCUCUUGGAGAAAUUUUUUUAUGAGAUGAAUGACGAGUUUGCCCUUAUUAUAUAUUUAACUCUUUUAUAUUUUAGGGUUUUGUUUUUGAGAGAGUGCAGCCAUAAUUGAGAGGUGUUUUCUAUAGCUUUACUGUUGUAACUCUACUUGUUCUUUUAUAUUUAUAGAUUGUUGAAUGUUGAUGCACCUUGUGGACAUAGGGAUCACAUUGAUCGUCACACCACAUUAAAAAUCUUGAGUUAUUUUUAUUUUCUAUUUAUGUGUACGUGUGAUUUGGUUAACAUUUUACUAUAAGGUACAUUAUUUUCUAUUUUUAAAAAUGAAAAAUAAAUUUUAUCUAAUAGAGCAUAUAAUACUUUAUCUUGCUUCUUCUUGUAAGUUAGAUUUGAUAUGACAUCGUUUUCUUCUUACUUUGAAGUGUUUUUCACAUAAUAUGGAUGUCCCUGUAUUUGGUUGUUUUUCAUAAUCUUUCAUAUAUUGCCUUUCACUCUUUUUAUAGACAUUUGGGUGUAUAUAUGAUAUUUGAAGUGUAUUUGCAUGCACUUUGGAUAUAUGAUAUUUUCUUUAAUCCAUAAGUAGAUUUUGUUUAGGUUAUAGAUUGUCUUGCGUAGAUUCAAAUGGAAGGUAAAAUUGUUGUGGAUAAGUUUAUCUAGCCCAUGAAAAGUUUCCUAAAUUCAUGUAUUGAGCUAUUUUAUUUAGGUAUUCUCUUAUCUCAAAUGUAAAUAACAUUAGGGCCUUGGGAUGUUGGUGAAAAAUGGUUGAGAAAAAAGUUUUUUUAAGGUUCAAGGGUGAAGAUACAAGUUUUUUUAUCAACCUUUUGGGGAAGCUUCUAUGCUAUGAUUUCUCUUUCUAUUCAUUGUUUUUUGGGUGAUGGAUUCCACAUCCAGCAUUGAUAUAUGUUUCCAUUGGUUUUUAAGGUGAAAAAACUAAUAAGGAUUUAUUUGUAUCAAUAAUUUUAUUAAAAUUGAAGAAAUUCUCUCUGUAGUUUUUUAUCGGUUAUUCAUAUUAUUUUUUGUGUCAUUUUGGUUGGAUGUUCUUAUAUUAUUAUUGUUGUUAUGUUAUUAUUACAAGAGAUUAUUAUCAUUGUGGAGGAAUCUUUUAACUUGUAAAGGUGAAUACUCUAUAAUUACAUUUAAAUUUCCAACAUAAGCAAGUAGGAUGAUUAAGGUUAUAUUUGGUUCUCGCAGAACAGUAAGGAAAGGAAAAAAAUAUAAAGAAAAUGGUUUUCUCAUAUAUGAAUGUCUUAUAAAAAAUACAAAAAAUAAAUAAAUAAAAUUAAAAUUAGUUAUAAACUUAUACAUUUUAAAUUAUUUAAUAUAUAUACCAAAGAUUUAAAAUAAGUUAAAUGAAUUUGAAGUAAGAUAUAAAAAUAAAUUAUCGACUUUAAGUUAAUCUAUUUUUUAUUUUUCUUUACUUUUUCUUUCUCUUGUAUUUUCUCUAAUAUUUUCCUGUAACCAAACAUAACUUGAGGAUUUGGUUCGUGACCUGCCCUAACGGAGAGCAACAUACAUUUCAGACCUGCACUACUCUUAACUCCAACAACAUACUUCAGUGGAUGUAAGCAUCAAUUUUCAAAUGUGAAUGAAGUAGCCUUUGUGACAAAUAAGAGAUCGAUCCCGGAUCUUGGAGCCCUUACAAUUGAAAGACCUUCAAUUCUUUAUGACAUUCUUUCAAUAUUCUUGAGCCUCCAUGUUUGCACAGUUCUUUUCUUUUCUUUCUUCCAUGAAUGUUAAACAUCUAGUCUUCAGAACUGUUUUCGGGUAUGAGAUGCUUGUGUUGCCAUCCAUCCUCCAACUCUGAAAUAUUUUGGGAUGGCUUAGAUUUCCAGUAUAUGGCAUAGAGCACCAUCUGAGCUGUUCCAAGAAGAAAUCCAAUCCCAUUUGGCACCUAUGAUUUAGAGUUAAACCAUUAAUAUUAUAUGCCUAAUACCUUGUUUAAGUCACAACAUACAUGCAAUCUCAGCCUACACACAUUUCAUUAUAUUAAGAGAAGUAAUACUUAGGAGAGGAGCCAAAGGCCCAAUGCAUCUUUAAUUAAGCACUAAGCACCGCAUUAAUCGAACAAGUACUUUUAAAGAAUCCGAAAAAUGGAAAUCGGAGACUUCAGGAUAAGGAAGAUGCUAGCACAUCAUUUUUCUUUCCUAGCCUUCACCUAAAAUUGAGGAUAAAUCAAAAUUAACCUUUGUACUCCUAAACGCUAGGCUGAUAAAUUUAAUUUGGGACCCAAGCAAGAGCUUAGUACUUAGUUUAGUUCUAGCACAUGGAUAGUUGAAUCCUAAGAGAAUAUUAAAAAUUUGUCAUUUUCAUGACAAUCAAUAUAUGUAGAUGAGAGCUUACUCCAAGGAAGAAGUCUUUCACAAGGAUGGCAUAGACGGUCCAAAUCCCUCCAUUUAAGAAAAAGAAAAACGAUAGAAGGAAAGGCAUGUACUCCACACUCUUUGUAGUCAACACCCUUUUCUGCACAUUAACAUGUUGAUACAAUUAAACUUUGGUACAUAUAUAAAUCUACUGGUCAAUAAGAGGAAAACGGCUCAACCCGAAAAGGGAACACUUCACUGUAAUUAACAAUUUUGCAUCAAAAUUAAUCAACCUUGAUGUAGACAUUGUAGCAUCAAAAUUAAUCAACAUGUAACUAAGAAUUAAAAAUCCAAAAUAUGCAAUUUUAAACGAAAUUAAAAAUAUAGAUCACAUGCAAAACUAAAAUGAAUUAUCAACUCAAGCAACUUUCUAUCAAAAUAAAUUAAUAAAUAGAUAAAUAAAACAAAAUGAAUAUGAUUAUUAAGCUCAUGAAAUUUCCUAUAAAUAAAUAAAUAAAUGAAUAAAACUAAUAGAUAGAGAAAGAUAAAAACAAAAACAAAAAAAAAACAAAAUCAAGCACAUGCAAGCCAUACGAGCUAUGCAACCAUACAAGUCAUGCAAACCAUGCAUCCAUGCAUAAAAUGAUCUAAAUUGGCCUAAGGUGCCUAAUGGGCCAAGUUUGCCUAAUGGGUCAAGUGUAUUUAAAUGGGCUUGGGGUGCCUAAGUGGGCCUAAGAUGGUACCUAAGUGGGCCUAAGAUGGUGCCUAAUGGGCCAAGUAUAUCUAAAUAGGCUUAGGGUGCCUAAGUGGGCUUAGGGUGAUGCCUAAUGGGUAAGGUGUAUCUAAAUAUGCCUCAGGUGCCUAAGUGGGCCUAGGUGGUGCCAAAUGGGUCAUGUGUAUUUAAAUGGGCCUAAGGUGCCUAAGUGGGCCUAAAGCGGUGCCUAACGGGCCAAGUGUACCUAAAUGGGUCUAGGGUGCCUAAGUGGACCUAAAGUGGUGCCUAAUGGGCCAAGUGUACCUAAAUGGGCCUAAAAUGCCUAAGUAGGCCUAAAGUGGUGCUUAAUGGGUCAAGUAUAUCUAAAUGGGCCUAGGGUACCUAAAUAGGCCUAAAGUGGUGCCUAAUGGGCCAAGUGUAUCUAAAUGGGUCUAGAGUGCCUAAGUGAACCUAAGUCUAAAUUAGGGUUGCCAAGAAUCACAACGGGGUUAGAUAAAUCCCUCAACCAAAAUCCCCAAGGUGGCUUAGAAAAUAUAGGCUACACGAGUAGUAAUGGACCACCAAAGAAUUGAUGUAAAGUACAGGACAAAUACUUAAUAGGAUAUGUGCUAGGAGGACAAAAUGGAGGGCCUACACUUGCUUCUUCUUGUAAGUUGGAUUUGGUAUGUCAUUUUUUCCUUACUUUGAAGUGUUUUUCACAUAAUAUGGAUGUCCCUGUAUUUGGUUGUUUUUCAGAAUCUUUCGUAUAUUGCCUUUCACUCCUUUUAUACACAUUUGGGUGUUAUUGCAUGCACUUUGGAUAUAUGAUAUUUUCUUUAAUCCAUAAGUAGAUUUUGUUUCGGUUAUAGAUUGUCUUGUGUAGAUUCAAAUGAAAGGUAAAAUUGUUGGGGCUAAGUUUAUCUAGCCCAUGAAAAGUUUCCUAAAUUCAUGUAUUGAGCUAUUUUUAUUUAGGUAUUCUCUUACCUCAAAUGUAAAUAACAUUAGGGCUUUGGGAUGUUGGUGAAAAAUGGUUGAGAAAAAAUGAAAGAAAAUUAGGUUGUUUUCCAGAUACUAUUCUAAGGUUCAAGGGUGAAGAUACAAGUCCUUUGAUCAACCUUUUAUGGAAGUUUCUAUGAUAUGAUUUCUCUUUCUAUUCAUUGUUUUUUGGGUGAUGGAUUCCCACAUCCAAUAUUGAUAUAUGUUUCCAUUAGUUUUUAAGGUGAAAAAACUAGUGAGGAUUUAUUUGUACCAAUAAUUUUAUUGAAAUGGAAGAAAUUCUCUCUAUGGUUUUUUAUCGUUUAUUUAUAUUAUUUUUUGUGUCAUUUUGGUUGGAUGUUAUUAUAUUAUUAUUGUCCUUUCUCAUUAUGUUGUGAUUAUUACGGGAGAUUAUUAUCAUUGUGGAGGAAUUUUAACUUGUAAAGGUGAAUAGUCUAUAAUUACAUUUAACUUCCCAACAUAAGUAAGUAGGAUGAUUAAAGCUAUAUUUGGUUCUCACAAAACAAUAAGGAAAAGAAAAAAAAAAUAAAGAAAAUGGUUUUCUCAUAUUUGGUUGUCUUAUAAAAAAUACAAAAGAAAAAAAAAAUGGAUAUAAUUAAAAUUAGUUAUAAACUUAUAAAUUUUAAAUUAUUUAAUAUUUAUACCAAAGAUUUAAAAUAAGUUAAAUGAAUUUAAAGGAAGAUAUAAAAACAAAUUAUUGACUUUAAAUUAAUCUAUUUUUUAUUCUCCUUACCUUUUUCUUUCUCUUCUAUUUUCUCUCGUAUUUUCCUGUAACCAAACAUAGCCGGAGGAUUUGGUUCGUGACCUGCCCUAACGGAGAACAACAUACAUUUCAGACCUGCACUACUCUUAACUCCGACAGACUUCAGUGGAUGUAAGCAUCAAUUUUCAAAUGUGAAUGAAGUAGCCUUUGUGUCAAAUAAGAGAUCGAUCCCGGAUCUUGGAGCCCUUACAAUUGAAAGACCUUCAAUUCUUUAUGACAUUCUUUCAGUAUUCUUGAGCCUCCAUGUUUGCACAGUUCUUUUCUUUUCUUUCUUCCAUGAAUGUUAAACAUCUAGUCUUCGGAACUGUUUUCGGAUAUGAAAUGCUUGUGUUGCCAUCCAUCCUCCAACUCCUCUGAAAUAUUUUGGGAUGACUUAGAUUUCCAGUACAUGGCAUAGAGCACCAUCUGAGCUGUUCCAAGAAGAAAUCCAAUCCCAUUUGGUACCUAUGAUUUAGAGUUAAACCAUUAAUAUUAUAUGCCAAAUACCUUAUUUAAAUCACAACAUACAUGCAAUCUCAGCCUACACACAAUUCAUUAUAUUAAGAGAAAUAAUACUUAGGAGAGGAGCCAAAGGCCCAAUGCAUCUUUAAUUAAGCACUAAGCACCGCAUUAAUCGAACAAGUACUUUUAAAGAAUCCGAAAAAUGGAAAUCGGAGACUUCAGGAUAAGGAAGAUGCUAGCACAUCAUUUUUCUUUCCUAGCCUUCACCUAAAAUUGAGGAUAAAUCAAAAUUAACCUUUGUACUCCUAAACGCUAGGCUGAUAAAUUUAAUUUGGGACCCAAGCAAGAGCUUAGUACUUAGUUUAGUUCUAGCACAUGGAUAGUUGAAUCCUAAGAGAAUAUUAAAAAUUUGUCAUUUUCAUGACAAUCAAUAUAUGUAGAUGAGAGCUUACUCCAAGGAAGAAGUCUUUCACAAGGAUGGCAUAGACGGUCCAAAUCCCUCCAUUUAAGAAAAAGAAAAACGAUAGAAGGAAAGGCAUGUACUCCACACUCUUUGUAGUCAACACCCUUUUCUGCACAUUAACAUGUUGAUACAAUUAAACUUUGGUACAUAUAUAAAUCUACUGGUCAAUAAGAGGAAAACGGCUCAACCCGAAAAGGGAACACUUCACUGUAAUUAACAAUUUUGCAUCAAAAUUAAUCAACCUUGAUGUAGACAUUGUAGCAUUUUGAAGUAAUUAAGGUUCUUACCACAACAACAAGAGGCGAACCGUACAUGACUAUACUUAGGCCUGCACACACAAACCCUAGCACAUCGAUGCGCAAGUCUCCAUGCAUUGUGAAAAGAGUAAUGAGAAUUACUAUUGCUGGAACUGCUACAUUCAAAAUCCCAAGAUAUAUGGCAGUCUUGGCCUGAAUAAAUAUCAAGAUAAAAGACAAUGAUCAUGCAUUAAUGAAAAAUAUAUAUAUGAUCAUGAUGUUACAACUAGUCUGCAACUUACCCUUACUCUUAGAGGUGCAUAAAUGAUGAAUAAUGUAACAUAAACAAGCUCGAUGAUGAUACCCAGACCAUUAGUAGUCGCUAGGAUGAAGCCCCCUGGCUUUAUGACUCCAUAGUAACACCACAAGGAUGUGCCCAAUAAUGCAAUUACAUAAGGAAAGCUCUCAAAAUCCUCGGUUGAUCUAUGCUUUACUAUUCGCAAGAACGUUUUUCUGCAAAUCGCAUUUCAAAUUUAUAGUAAGUUGUAUUGAUCAUAAAUUAAGAUUCUAGGUUCUUGAAAGAUAUAUGCUACUUACAUGGGAGAGAGAACCACAGUCACUGAAAUGAUGUUCCCUGAAAAACAAAGUGAAAAACAUUAUAUACGGCUCUCUUAAGCAUGGUCCAAAACCCUAAAAAAGAAACAAGAAUAAAGCAUUGUAUAGAGAGAAUCAAACUGGGUUUUACCUAUCACUCCAACAAAGAAGCUCAGGCCCUCCAUGUUGAGGAAGAAAAAGGGCUGCAGCUAGCUAGUCCUUUUGUUGUUUUGGAAGUAUAGCAUUAUGGACUUUAGGGCUUUAUAUUGAAGUGCUUUCCCAUGUCUGCACUAAAAGCGCUCACAUCUUAACAGGGUCAAUUUUACGGGACUCCAUGUACCUAAUCCUUGGUGUUAUCUUACUGAGAUCAACUCUCUUGUCCUAACCCUAAGACCAGCACCCAUGAAAUUGUAGUCAUCCUAUGUGCUGAAUUUAUUAAUGGUUCAUGGAAAAUGGUAAAUAAAUUGCUUGAAAUGCGUGCUUUAUAUAUUAAGUGCUCAGAUCAUACAAUAACAUAUAUAAGCUCUUAUGGAAGCACGUUGGUGUAUUGUGUUUAUCUGCAAAAGUAGGUUAGCCAUAUUUUAUCUCAUUAAUAUAUACCAAUUUUUAUCUCACGAGAAUUAUUUUUAGUAACAAAAGAAUGAAUUAAGACAUUAUUUAAUCCCAUGAUUUAAUUUUCUUUGCAAAUUAUUUUUAGUGCAUAAUCCUUAAGAAGAGUUGGGACAACUCAAAUCACCAGGAUCUUUGAUGGAAAAUCUAGCUGCCAAAUUGUUCAAGAAGAGUUGGAUUACCUUCAAUUCCUAUAAUGUCAUUGACAUAAUGCAACCACAUACAAAAUAAUUUGAAGAGAAAAUAAUUUUGUCUGAACUGAAGGAGAAAGUGCCUUAAUUAGCUCUUGGUACCAUGCUCAUGGUGCUUGUCUUAGGCCGGAGAUGGCUUUUUUUAAUUUGUACACAUCAAAAGUUGGGUCAUAUAUACAUCAUCGGACAAAGUAAUGUGUAAGAAAGUAUUAUUUAAUUUUAGUAUUGUGUAAGAAAGCAUUAUUUACUUUUAGUUAACCUAAACACCUUUUAUAUUUUCUUUUGGUUGGCUUAAACACUUGUGAGAGGGGGAUUCGAAAUCCCACUCAAAUGGACCUAGCUAAACCCGAAAUCCUAAACAAAUGAGCUUAGCCCCCUAUGCGUGUAAAUCUCUCACUUUGUUGAUCAUAAGCCCAUGAGACUAAGGAAAUAGGAGACAAUGUAAGCCCAAAAAAGGUUCCAACCCCUUAGCUUUUUCACUCAAAAACACAUACACACUAUUCUAAAUUUCUAACAUAUAUGCUAUUGGUAGAUGGGCCAGGCACAAGUAUGGACUUUCCUUUUGUGAAUAGCUUUAGAAAGGCACAAGGUUUGGAUUAAUUUGGACCAAGCUUGUGGUGGAAUAAUUUUACUCGUAGUUGGGAAGAAUGGAGAAUCACUUCUUAGAGAGGAAUUGAAGAUUCUUCAUAGGUAUAGGCAAAUGGUUUAUAAGGUAGAUAGAUUGUAAUGUGAGGAAGACGUAGGACCAAUAGCAAGAAGAAGUGGAGGCAUCUUGAUGUAACAAUGCGAGACCGGUUUCUACCAUGUGAGAGUGACAACGCUCAACAAUAGCAUUAUGUUGAUAAGUAUCGGGCGAGGACUUUCGGUGUUGGAUGUGAAGGGAUGAAAGAAAUUAUUGAAGGGGGUUGUACUCAUUAAAGCACAAUCAAAGUAGACACCAUCAAUAAUUCGAGUGUUACAGAAUUAAUUUUCAACAAAAUUAACUUUAGAUUUGACAAAUGCGAUAGAUAUAUCAUAUUUAUGACAAAUUAGAUAUAGGAAUUUACUUCAUGAAGUGGUCCAUAAAGAACGCAUGUAUGAUAUCAAAAUCCAACCAUUGAAGUAAUUGGAACAGGACCCUAAUAUCGGCUUGUAUUAAUUCCAAAGAGGAGAAAAAGAUGAUGGCAUAAUUAAGGAGAUUGUAGGAGAAAAUUAGACGGUGUAAAAUCUUGCAAAGAAGGAUGGCCUAGUUGUCAAUGCCAGUUUCCAAAAUGGGAUUUGACACCAACCCAUGCUUGAGUUGAUUGAGAGGGCCACCCUACUCCACCCCUUGACUAGAGAGAUAUAUGCUACUUGAUAUAUGAUGUUACCUGAAAUGAUGUUCCCUGAAAAGCAAAGUGAAAAACAUGAUAUAUGGCUCUCUUAAGAAUGCUCCAAAACCCUAAAAAAGAAUAAGGCAUGGUAUAGAGAGAAUCCAAUUGGCUUUUUACCCAUCACUCCAACAAGCCUACCAUGUUGAGGUAGAAAAAGGGCUGCAGCUAGCUAGCCCUUUUGUUGGUUUGAAAGUAUAGCCUUAUGGAAUUCAGCUUUGAAACCAUGCACUUGAUUAGCAGCGUGAUUUAGGGCUUUAUAGUAAAGUGGCGUUAUAUUAAAGUUCUUUCUUUUGGCUUGUUCCACCUUGUCUGUACUAAGAGCACUCACAUGGUCAAUUUGUGGGGCUCCACCUAAUCCUUGGUGUUAUCUUAUUGUGAUCAACUCUCUUGUCCCCAACCCUAGAUCCAAUUACAACUUGAAAUAUGGAAUUUGAAGACAAAAACCAUGACUCUAAUAGUCUAAUUCAAUCAUUUUCUCAAGUUAUUUGAGUAAAUAUAAUUGUAAGUCACUCUUAUCAAUCAUUAUUCCAUACAAUAAAUCUAGUCACAUUCCUUAACUUCGAUGCAACAUCAAUCUUGUUUGGUAUUAGAGUGAUCAGGAUAAUUAUGACAUAUGUCUUUAGAAAUUCUAAAUAAAUAAAAAUUUGUCUUUUUAAGGAAAAAUAUGGAUCUAAGAUCUAUCAGAUUGGAAAGUAUGAAGGCCAUGGUUGAAAAUUAUAGAAAAUUAUAUCCAAAUAUUCUUUAAAAAAAUAUUGUAUUUUUGACCUUUUAACGCCAUUUUUAGAAUUUGUGGGCUACUAUUAAAUUGUGGAUUCCAAAUAUUAAUUAAUAAUUCAGUCAUACUUACAGACAAAAAUUAAACAAACUAAUGAAGAUAGAAACCUCCAUUAGCAUUAAACAUCUUGAUUGUAUAUAUAUAUUCCACUUAAUCCUUAUUUCAUGGCCAACAUACCGGCUAAGGAAUGGGAAAUAUUUCUCUUAUUAUAUAUAUGAAUUCAAUUUUCAUUUCAUCAUGGAAAAAACCAUCUUAAAUAGUAAAGUGGCUUUAUAUUAAAGUGCCUUCUUUUGGCUUGUUCCACCAUGUCUGUACUAAGAGCACUCACAUGGUCAAUUUGUGGGUCUCCACCUAAUCCUUGGUGUUAUCUUAUUGUGAUCAGCUCUCUUUUCCCCAACCCUAGAUCCAAUUACAACUUGAAAUAUAGAAUUUGAAGACAAAAACCAUGACUCUAAUAGUCUAAUUCAAUCAUUUUCUCAAGUUAUUUGAGUAAAUGCAAUUGUAAGUCACUCUUAUCAAUCAUCAUUCCAUACAAUAAAUCUAGUCACAUUCCUUAACUUCGAUGCAACAUCAAUCUUGUUUGGUAUUAGAGUGAUCAGGAUAAUUAUGACAUAGGUCUUUAAAAAUUCUAAACAAAUAAAAUUUUGUCUUUUAAGGAAAAAGAUGGAUCUAAGAUCUAUCAAAUUAGAAAGUAUGAAGGCCAUGGUUGAAAAUUAUAUGCAAAUAUUCUUUUUAAAAAAUUGUAUUUUUGACGUUCUAAAGCUAUUUUUAGAAUUUGUGGGGAUUCCAAAUAUUAAUUAAUAAUUCAGCCAUACUUACAAAAAAAUUAAACAAACUAAUGAAGAUAGAGACCUCCAUUAGCAUUAAGCAUCUUGAUUGUGUUGUGUUGCAGAUGUAGGAAGGUUCUAGGGUGUAAAUUUCAAAGAGCAACAACUAUCAGGUAAAUCCGUGUACCUCUUCUUAAUAUUUAGUGGAUUAUAACUUUACCGUCUUUGAACCCAUGCUUUUUAUAUCCAUAAAGCCUUUGAAAGAUCAUGUGGGUGAUUUUCCAAGUAAAUCGAUGUCAACUCAUUGUGCAAUUAAAUUUCUCUACUUCAUCUCUAAUGCUUAAAGACAAAAUUUAAAAAUAAAAAAAUCGGGUUAAAAAAAAUAAGAAUUGCCUAUUCACCCUUCUAGAUAUUCCAUAAGCAAGAUCUACAAACAUUCGGUAUUCAAUAGAUCAACCAAAGAAAUCAAUUGGAGACUGAGCAAGAUGGUAGAGUCUGCGUAGUAAUUUUAGCUAGGAAUUGAUGUUUGUUGAAUCCUUGAGAAAUCCUUGAAAAUAUGUCACCCCCGUUAACUAUGAGAACUUAUUGCAAUGGAGUAGUCUUUCACAAGGAUGGCAUAGCAAGUCCAAAUUAGAACACUCGAGGAAAGGGAAAAUGAUAGAAGAAAAGGCAUGUACUCUACACUCUUUGUCAUCACCACCCUUUUCUGCAUAUUGACAUAUCGAUACCUUAAGCUUUGGUAUGAAUACACCCCAUAAUCACAACUAAGAAGAAUAGGGUUAGAACCCUCGUGUAUAUUUAAGCUAGGCAUGCAUGAAGAAAGAAUUUAGGCCUUUAAGAUAGGAACACAAGCCAAUACCCUCUAUUUCAUAUGAACUGGCCUUUUCACUAUCAAAGGUGCCAUUAUGUGUGCGUGUGAAAUUUGAUAAAAGAGAGUUUCUUAACAUAGCCACAAAAGGUGAAGCAUACAUGGCUAUAGUUAUGCCUGCACGAAUAAACCCUACUACACCGAUCCGUAAAUCUCCAUGCAUUGUGUAUUGAGUGACGAGAAAUACUGCUGCUAGAAACCCCACAUCCAAAACCCCAACAAGUAUAGCGGUCUUGGCCUGUAAUUAUUACAUAUCAUGAAUGAUAAUGUCAUAUGAAUUGAUGAAUAUAUAUAGUUAUAAUUUGCAGCUUACCCUUAUUUUUGGAGGUGCAUAUAUGAGGAACAAGACAACAUAAACAAGCUGGAUGAGUGCCCCAAGGCCAUUGAUAGUGGCUAGCAGGUACAUUCCGGGCUUUGUGACUCCAUAGUAGAUCCCCACGGACGAAGACAAUAAUGUGCUAACAUAAGGAAGGCUCUCAAACUCCUCAGUUGAUCUAUGUUUCACUAUAUGUGAAAAUGUCUUUCUGCAAAUUGUAUUUCAAAUUUUCUGUUAAAUUAAUGUUUCCAAAAAGGUUCUAGAUUUAGAAGAUAUUUAUAGUACUACUCACAUGGGAGAAAGAUAGAGGAAGAUUGUAAAGAUGCUCGCUGAAAAGACCAGAAAAACAAAAAAUAAAAAACAAGGUGAAGAUUCUUUAAUGUGAUAGUUGUUGGAUGGGGAAAAAAAUUAAUUUUUCUUACAUAAGUGUGUGCGUGUGUGUUUGGAUAUCCCUUAAGCAUGUAGACAUAGUCAUGUUUUAAAAUCGCGAGUGUCCUUUGAGUUUAAAGUAGACAAUAUAUAUACAAUUAAAAGUGAGUCGUCACAACUAAUAUCAGAAUUGAUCUCCAACCCUGAUGUAAGAGUUUGUUUAACCCCAAAACAAAUAUUUAUCUAUUUGAACUCGUAAUCUCGUGGGAUAUAUACACCGAGGCUAUGUGUUUUCAUGAAAGGUGAUUGGGAUAUCCUACUUCGGAUGGAGAAAAAAGUUUUUAAUACUAUAUACAUAUAAAUUCAUCUUAAUCAUGUAAACGUGUUUUAAAGUUGUAAGGACUCUUUCGAUUUAGAAUAGACAAUAUAUCUACACAAUUGAAAAUGAACGGUUACAUUUAGUUCAUAUAUUUUUGUGGUCUAUAAUCCCAAAUAUAUACACAUAUGUCAAAGAAUUAGGAUUUAGAUUAAUGGCCCAUUUGAUUUUAUUCGCAUAACUAAUCAAAGUGGUCAAUGUAUCAUUAUAUAUUUAUAUAUAUAUCAAAUGAGGACCAAGUAUCUUGAUAUGCAAUGAGGACCAAGUAUUUUGAUCAGGAAUUUAUUUGUCAUAUUGUUUGAGAUUUAGUUUGACAUAUAUUGUUUAACAACUGAUUUCAUGUCAAGUGGAUUGCACCAAAACAAGACUAUGAUUUUGCAUUAUAUAUAUGGAUUCACAUGUGAUAUGCAUGGACAAUGAAGCUUUUAUUUGUAUUAUGAUAAACCCUUGAUCUUAUGAAAGCCGAUGGAAGCUUAAUUUAAAUUGAAGAUCAGACAAUCACAACUCAUCUUUCUAUGUUAGUUAACAUGUUUAUGUGCUUAUGUAUCGUAUGAUAUUAAAUAAAACUCAUCAAAUGACAAACCUUAGCCAAUGAAAAACAUGGUAAAAUUUAUAUCUUCAAAUUAAUAUAGCAGCAUUGACACCAUACAUUAGAGUGAAUUUUGGCAGCACUUCCUAUGUUCUAGUGAAGGGUUAUGUGUUCAUAGUCUUCAUUCUCAGCAUCCUUCUCUUGUUGCCAACUUGACUGGAGUUCAUAUGAGCCCAAAGAUAGUGUUUUCAUGAUCUUCUAUAAGCUGUAUUGUCUAGCUAUGGAGGGAUUGGGGAGGCUUCUUCCCUUGAUGAAUCUGUGAUUCUUCACUCUUGCCUUGCCACCAUCAUCAUAGACUCCCAUCUCAACCUCCCUUUUCACCAGUUGGGCUGAGUAAUCUUCAUUCUUUUUUUCUCUCUUCUGAUUUUGCUGGCACUGACUUUUUUCUGUAGAUCGUGUUAAGGAUCAGCUGGGCUGACCCCAGUAUGAAUCCUAUAGCAUUUGGCACCUGAAAUAGUACUCAACAAUAUUCCCAAAAGAAAUCAGAAUUGUCAAUAAUUCAAAUCAAUAUGCCCAGAACAAUUUUUAACAUUUCAGAUCAGUGAUAUAUAAUUUUAGUAUGAAACACAAACAGCUUAUAUAAUUCUAGGCAAGAGGUACAGCUAUAGCAUAGUUUAUCUUACAUGGGAGCAAGAUAAACUAGUAGAGAGGCCAUAUUUCCUGCAAAGCAAACAGGGAAAAAGAAAAUCAGCAUAAAAACAAAACCCCAAGAAGCAUAUAUCGAGAAAAGGGAGAAAAAAAAAUAUUCAAGAAAGAAGCAAACCUAUAAUACCAACAAUGAAGCUUGGAUUAGCCAUGGAAGCAGCUGAGAUUGAAUUGCAGUUGAAAUGGUAUAAGAAGAAGAGGUGUGUGCUGAUGCAUGUGAAGAAGGAAAAACAGAAUGAUACGUGUACCGUCUCUUUUUCUAACACGAUGAUCUGCCUUUCCCUGCAUUUAUCAUUUCCAGACUGUCUUUUGUCCUUGGCUAGGCUAAAUUAAUUUCAAAUCUUCAUACCUCUUUCCAAUGAAGUUUGGGAAGUCUUUUUCUUCAUAAAAAAUGAUCAAAUUUUCAGACUCUUCUCCAACAAAUGAUGAGUUAUAUAACACUCUGUAUGUCUCAAUGAUCAAAUUUGAGUUUGAAGAAGAAUCUUAGAGAGAGUUUUCAAUCUAUUAAUCUCACUUAAGAGGAAGUGGCUAUGAACUGCAAAUGAGUACUGCCAACUUCUAAGUAUACAACUCACAUGCCCUUCUUUACAAAAGGGUACUGUUAUGUUUUAUGCUGUCAUUUUAAAGGAUUCGAUUUUCCCGGUAACUAUAGCUUCAUAUUACAAGAACUGCACAGGAGAGUGAUUCUGUGCUGCAUUAAUUCUUGAUGUUCUAAUGAAGGUUGUGAUCAUAUGUCACCCUUCUCAAUGUCCUUAUCUUGCUGCCGAUCCUGCAGCUCACAUGGACUCCAGGAAAGAGUUCUCAUGAUCUUCUGUAAGCUGUAUUGUCGAGAUAUGAAGGGCAUGGGGAGGCUUCUUCCCUUGCUGAGGCUAUGAUUUUUUGGACUGGCCUUGCCAUCAUCCUUAGAGACUUGCAUCUCAACCGCUCUUUUCACCGUGUGGGCCGAGCCUUCCUCCUCCACUCUCUCCUCUGAUGUUGCUGAAGGCCUUGACUUGUUUCUGUAGACUGCGUAGAGGAUCAGCUGGGCUGACCCCAACACAAAUCCUACGGCAUUUGGAACCUGAAAUCAUACCAGGCCAUCACUCUUAACCAUAUGCCAAAAAAACCAGCAUGAUCAUAUGAAGUAUUCAUAGAGGAGAAUGGUGUGUGAUGGUUGCAGUACUCUUUCUCAGGUUGUGAAUCAUUCAAAUGAGUCGGAAAAUUGGAACCCUUUUGCAGAACUCAUUGCAGAAAUAUCAGCAAAGAGCUUCACAAAUCACCAAUGGAAAGUCUUCAUAAUAUGGGAAAAGGGUGGAAAGAAUUGAGAGAACUCACUCCAAUAAAGAAAUCCGUGACAAGCACUGCAUAAACAGACCAAACACCUCCAUUGAGGAAUAGGAAAAAUGAGAGAAAAAACGGCAUGAACUCCACAGACUUCGUCUUUAUCACCAUCCUCUGUCGCGCACAAAAUUGAAACAGAAUUAUAUUAGUACUCACCACUGCCAUUGCAGAUCUCAUGUUUCCGGGUUCUUGCUAUAGCAAUUGGCAUCAAACACCUUAUAAUCAGCAUUAAAACCACCCCUUUUCUCGCCUAAUGUGGAUAGCCAUCAUUCAAAAGGUUACCAAGCAAAGUAAGAAGCCUUACCAUGGCUGAAAGAGGAGAUGCAUACAUGACUAUAGUCAAUCCUGCACAAAAAAUUCCCACACAGAUAAGCCGAGAACUUCCAUGGAAGGCUAGGAGAGUUAGUGCAAUCACUGCUCCAAGAAAGCCAACAUCCAAUACGGCUGCCACUUUCAUGGACUUGAUCUGAAAAAAUCAGAGGAGAAACACAAAGGGUCAUUGAUACAAUAUACUAAUUUCACUCCAUGCAUGACAAAUAUGCAAUUCCAUGACUUAGAUAUCAAAAAAUCUAUUAAUAUCUCACCUUUACAUCCCUGGGAGCAUAGAUCAGAAACAGAGUGACAUAGAUGAACUGCAUAAUGGCACCAGCACCAUUCACAGUAAGGACAAGUAAGCCGCCAGGCUUGAGAAUUCCAUAGAAAGACCACAAACUUGUGCUUAACAGAGUAGUUAUGUAUGGAAUUCCUUUGUAAUUCUCUGUUGAUUUCUUCUUCACUACUCUACGAAAAGUCCCUCUGAAAACCCCAAUUUCAAUAACAAAUUAUUGGUUUUUAUUUCCAAAUUGGGUAUUCUUAGAAUUACAUAUCUUGAUCUGACCAUAAAAGUACUGUACUAAAAAUUGACACCAGAAGAAAAGUUCUAAGUAAAAUGAAAAAGAAUUCACCAGCUCACACACAUGCCUCUGAAAAUUAUUGGUUUUUAUUUCCAAAUUGGGUAUUUUUAGAGCUACAUAUCUUGAUCUGAUCAUAAAAGUUCUGUACUAAAAACUGACAGUAAGAAUUGAUCAGCUUUCAUACAUAUCAUACAAUAUGAAACUGAUGAAUUUACGGUGUAGUGGUACAUGUAGAGCAUCAAAUUCAUCAUAUUCUGCAAUUAUCAGAAAAACCCAAAAAAAAAAUAAAAGUAAAAAAUUGAACUGGGCCAAAACCCCCUGGACCCUAGCUUGAAAAGGUAUCAUUGAAUUGGAUCUAGUUGGAAAAUAUAAGCCUACAAGAGACUUAACAAAUACACCAGUUGCCAUGCAAAAACAUGGAAGUGCUUAUAGCUCUAGCAACUUCAUAUUUUUAACAAACGGUUAAGUGCUUACAUGGGGGAGGCAAAAACCAGUAUAGAGAUCACAUUUCCUGCAAACCAAACAGCAGAAGGAAAACAUCACCAUACACAACAAAGAAAACCCACCAAGGAAAAAACUCAGAAAAUUUAAGUUCAACAAACAAUCAACUAAACCUAUGAUGCCAAUGAUGAAGCUCAAGCUAGCCAUGGAGCAAAGGAGGUGGAGGUGGAGGUUGGUGACACUCAAUUAAUGAAUGAAUAGAUGUAGGAAAGAAUGAUUGUAGGGGUGUCUGUGAUGCAUGUGACAGUAGGACAGAGGGGCAAUUGUGACUGACUAUGGGAUAAAGAUGACUUGCAAUUCUUUUAAAGGAGUGAUUCUCGAUGAAGAUUGAAGUCUAGAUGUGUGACACGCUCGGGUAUGGGGAUUUGUGACGGUUCCAAUUAGGGCACGUGGACCACAUCCUGUUUGGACACCAUGAUUUUGCUUCUGUUUUUGGGGAUAUUGAAGAAAAGUGGGAGUUCGGAGGACUUCUAGAUGAUGUGUUUUUACCUUGGUCCUUGAAUAAAUUUGGAAUCUUGAGGAGUACGGGUAAAAUGAUGCUUUCCCUUAGUGGGUACGUAGUUGAAUUCCCUUUCGUUAGGUUGUUGAUUGGUAUUUCUAUUUAUAGAGAACUUGUCACUUCUUGGGGUUGGUAGUAGUACUUUUCAUUUAACAAAUGAAGGUUUCGUAAAAGGCCAACAUGUUCCAAACCAUUUCGUAUCCAAUUAUUUACCUAUUUUAAUCUUAUUCAAGAUUAAAUAAUUUUUUUAUAAGUUAAAAAAAAUGCUUUUCAUGAUGAUAUUAUUUUACAAUUUUUUUGGUCAAAAAUUAUUUGGGUGAUAUUUUAAAAUAGAUUAUUCUUUUGUUAGGUUAAGUGGUUUAUGUGAAUAUUUAAUAAUUAGUAUAAUAUGAUAUUAAGUCAUUUUAGAUUAUUAAAAACCAAAUACUAAAUUUUAUUAAAUAUUAAAAUUAUGCUUGGUUCUCAAGAAAGCUAAAGGGAAAAUAAAAAAAUAAAAGGAAAGAGAAAGUAAAAAAUAAAUAAAAUAAAAAGUAAAUUUAAAGGCAAUAAAUUAUUUUAUAUGUAUUCAUGACAAGUCAUUUUCCAAAUGCUUCUUCAAAUCUUCGUGUUAAGGCGUCUUAUGGUUCUAAGACUGUUUUUCUAAAAUAAAAUCAAAGGUUUUUGUAAAAGGUAUCAGUCACAUCUGUAAACUAAAUUUAAAGUUAAUAAAUUAUUUUAUAUGUUCUUUAAACUUAUUUUACUUAUUUUAACAUUUCAAUAUAAAAAUUAAAUAAUUUAAAAAUACAUAAAUUUCUAAUUAAUUUUAAUUAUAUUUUAUUUUCCUUCUAUAUUUUUCAUAUUAUAACAAAUACAAAAAAAUAAUUUUUUUUAACAAUUUCUUUUCUUUCUUUAAUAUUUUAUAGGAACUUUCACAGGAAUAAUUUAAAUCAAAUAUAAAUAUUUUGAUAAUACUAUUCUCGUACUAAUUCUAACUUUCUGGUUUAUAUUUAUAUAAUACCAUGUUUAAAAAUUUAUUAGGUUAGAGAUUUGUUACCUUACUAUAAAAUACAUUUAUUAUUAUUUUUAAUAUGUUAUUUAGAAAAGCUAUUUUUGAGGACUUUUCGAUAAUCUCUUCUUAUCCUAACUUAUUAUCUUCUAUACUAAAAAGUGUUUGUAAACCACAAUACUUUUCUACUUGGACAAACACAAACUCUAUAUACAUAUAAAAAAAAAUGAGAAGUUUUUCUUAUUUUGCUUUAUUUACCAUAUGAUCUCAAUUAAAAUAAGUGGGUAGAAAAAAAAAGAAUAAUUUAGGGAUUUGAUUCAUAUGGAUGAUUCUUUUUAAAAAGGGAAGUGUUUUUUUUUUACUUGUUCAAUGUAUCUUAAUAGCUUUCCAAUUAAAUAAUAUUAUUUCUCAAUUUGAUGUUAAAGCAAAGGUUGUUAGAUAUCACAUCACAAUUUAAUAAAAUUGAUCUCAAGAUUAAAGUGAAGAUAUUAUAGAUACGAUAGUCUAUCAUUGGCGAAAAUUAGCAUGUCGGGCUAAGGAUAAGGAUUUUGUCUUUAACUUUUUGAUACAUGCGGUCAUCAUUUGCAAAAAUUAGCAUGUCGGUUAAGGAUAAAGAUUUUGUCUUUUAACUUUUUGAUACAUGUGGUAUGAGAGGUAAAUAACUUUUACGCUAUAUUUGACUUUCGAUCGAGAAAGAAAAUAGAGAAAAAAAUAUAGAAAAUAGAUUUAAAAUUAAUAAAUUAUUUUUCUUUGUUUCUAUAAAUUCAUUUAAUUUAUUUUUCUUUAUUAUAUAAAGACUUAAUAAUUUUAAAAUGUAUAUAUUUUUAAUUAAUUUUAAUUAAAUUUUAUUUUCUUUACUAUUUUUCAUAAUAAAAUCGAAUAUAAGAAAAUAAUUUUCUCUCAUUAUAUCGAUUUUUAUUUAAUUAAUUUUUUUUAAAAUUUCAAAAUAAUUCUAAUUCUUAAGAAAAAUAGAAUUGAGAAGUGAGAACCUUCAAGCCGAGGUGAAGUUGGGUUAAUCUCGAAAGGGAUCUAAUCUUAUUCCUGAACCGACUUGAUCCACACCGUUACCCAAACAGAGGCAAAAAGAAUCGCUUGAGAACAAGUGAACAACGAGGGCUCCAUUCUAAGCUGCGCUAGUGAGCUCACCGUCACCCCCACUUUCCUGUUCCUCAUUCGAGGUUUUAAAUUCACCAACCCUGUAAAACCCUAGAAGAAAAGGGGUUUUUUUUUCGUCCGAAUUCUUGAAGAUACUCACAUUUUCUCUCCAUUCACCUCUCAAAAUGUUCAAAAAGUAAGCGCGCUCUCUCUCUUUUUCUCUCUCUCUCUCUCUAUAUAUAUAUAAAUUUUAUUUUUGAAUUGUAGUUUUUGUUUAUGAUUGAUUGUAGAUUGAUUCGUAAAUUGGGAUUCACUUGAUGCGUUGAAUUUAUUGUUAUUGUGUGUAUUGUGAAUUGAUGUGGUUUGGUUCCCGGGAAAAUCAGAGAUGGAAAGGGUAAAGAGAGAGUUAUUGAAGGUGGGUUCUUUUCUUGAGGCUCUUUUUUUUUUUUUUUUUUUUUUUUUUUAGGCGUUUUCCUCUGAGAAUCAAACAGAAUUUGGAGCAUUUGAGACAACCCAUGGCAUUUGUUUGAAUUGAAACCGUUGGAAUCACUCAGAUGCAUUGACAGCUAAUACUUGGUGAGAUUUGUAUAUUGAGUCACACUUCAAUUCUAGCCCCAAAGAAGAGAAGAGGGUUUAAAGAGGGAAAAACCUUGGCUACAAAUUACGUUCCCUUGUGAGUCCAUUUGUCGAAGCCAUAAACACAUUGUUUAUAGAUCAUGAAUCUCAAAUGAUCGAUCAUUAGGUCCUUGUGUCACAGAACUUCGAUAAGCCCUUGUACUUGAGAGGAGCAUUGCUGCGAGUUAUUCAGCUUCAUGGAGUUCAUUAGUAUCUAAAUUUUAUUGACAUGGGAAAUUUUAGUUCGUUUGUUUGGAAUUGCAAUGUCACAUGGUUUGUACAUGAAAGCAAUGCUGUCAACUUUUCUACCUGAGGGUUUUGUUUAUGUAGAGCCUAUACACUAGCUGUUUCCUGAGGAACCCUCCAAACACAGUUUCUGUUGUCAUGAUUUUGCUUUUAUUAAUUCUAUAAGAUGAAUAGCAUUUACUACCUCCAAGCACACUUUUUGAAUUAUUAUAAUUUUGGUCUUCUCAUAAUUAGAUAAGAUGGAUAGCAUUUAGUUCCAUUGAAACUUGGGAUGAACUCUAUCUUCUAAUAUGGUGUUCUAAUGGAGUUGAUGUGGUGGAACUUGGAACUUGAGUGCCUUGCAAAUUGGCUUGCUUUUUCUUUAUAUCCCUGUUAAUUUGAUGCUGUUGACUGCAGCAUGCUAAAAACCCUUACAAAUUGACAGCAUUAAGCUUUCUAACUAGAAGGUUUAGGAUUGUUUAGAUUAAGAUCUAUCCUAAUGGCGCUGUAGCUAUGUACUGUAAGGGAUUGGAGGAUAAAUGAGCCUUGUAUCCUGUGAGUUUCUAUGGAAGGUGUAUGAAGUUGCAAUCCUAGUCUUUUCUGCUGUGCAUCAUUUGGAGCUUCCUCACCUCAUUCAAGGUUCCUUCCAUAUAUGCAAUGUUUGUUGGGAUUCCUGAUGACAGAUCAUUUAGUUUCCUGGAAUCCAGUUAUACCUUAUUUGCACAUGGAGUGCACCACCUCAUCCCACAUAACAAAUUUUCUCUUCUACCAUAAUAAUGACUUCUAGUUAGUUUGCACUUUUUGUGCAAUACCUUAAGUGGGCGAUUGAGCAUACUUAUGCUAUGGAGGUCAAUGUUGGGCUACUGCUAGAGGAUUGAACAGUUCUGUGUUGCUUUGGAAAAAGUGGAACCAUCAUCUCCUACAACAAGGAUUCUCUUGUAGACAAAUUUCAAUUUAGAGUCUGGGUGCUUUGUUGGUUUUAUUUUUAAUGGCAUUUUAAGGCUGGCCCUUCUUGGAUUUUUCUGACAUUUGCAGCAGCAUGGUCUUUUGUAGAAGUCUGGUCGUCUUCUUUCUGUUUAAACUUGCUGUGUACCUUCUAUCAUGUCACUAUGAUUGUUCCUGUUUGUAUAUUGCAAAAUUUGAUGUGCAUUCUCUUGUAUUACUAUAAUUGUGCCUAUUUAUGUAUGCCAAAAUUUCUCUAUAAACUUUUGAUAUUUCUUUUCUUGUAUUCUAUAGGUUCUCAUCUGAAGAUGUAUCCUCACAAAAUCAAGUUAAGGCAUCGGUGCAACGCAAAAUUCGGCAAAGCAUUGCAGAUGAGGUUUUAACUCUUUAGAGGCAUUCUUGUUUUUUAUUGUACCAAUGAAUGACGACUGAUUCACUUAUUUAAAAAAAUGAUAAUUGUCUUCUAAAAUGACUUUGUCUAUGUCUUUUAUAGCCUUUCAUUUUAAUGGCAGUACCCAGGACUCGAACCAGUUUUGGAUGAUUUGCUUCCGAAGAAGUCCCCUCUCAUUGUUGCUAAAUGGUUCUCACUGUCUUAUUAGUUUUGUUGUUUCCUUUGAUGUUCUUGUUAGUUUGUUGCUGUUGAGUUUUGGUUCUUCAUGAUAAUUACUCUAUCCAACAUAUAAGAGAUUUGUUCUGACAAACCCUUUUUUCUUCUAUUAGUCAAAACCAUCUGAAUCUGGUGUUGGUCAACAAUGUGCCACUGUUUUUCAAUGUUCGGGAUGGACCUUACAUGCCUACAUUACGACUUCUUCACCAAUGUAAAGUAUUUCUUUAAUUGUCUAUUAUAUCUUAUGUUAUUACAAAUUGCAAUUUUUGUUAAAUAAUUUAUUGUCGUGGAUUUUCUGCUCUUGCAUGCUGCUUUUCUUUAGGAUGGUCUAGCUUCAUGUGUUUGGAUGAAAAUGAGAGUCAAUAGUAGGAGAGAAACUUGCACCUGAUUCUCUAGUGUGUGGCUAAUAUCAUUUACUUUGGACUUUGGUGAAGCUGCUAGAAAGAACCCGUGCAGUGAAUAUCUAUAAUAGUAUGGAGCUUUUGAACUCAUGGUGCCCAUAGUUUUAUAUGUAAUUCAUCUUUUAUUUCUUGUUUAGUAAGAAACUAGGUCGUAACAUGCACACACUUGGUGCUUCCCACUUAAACUCAUCUCAUAUGCCCAAAGUAUUUACUGUUGGCUGAGAUAGGAAGUGUCGGGCAUGCUUUGUAUUUCAUUUAGUUUUCAUUCUUUCUACACAUUUUUAGAAUAUUUACAGUGUCAUUUUGUUUAGAUUUUGAUUAAAACUAGCAUUCCUGGCCCUGAGCCUUCCUGAACUUAUCCUCUGUAAACUAUUUUAAGCUUUUAUGGUAAGAGAAGAAGAUUCAGAAUUGUGCCCCAGAUUGUUCUCAAAGCGAGACUCUUCUUUUUUAUUCUCAAACCUCACUAGAUGUCUUUUAAAAUGGGCUUCCAGGGUCCUAAUCGAAAUUCAAGAAUCCUGUAGGGGAGAUCCUAUGAAUUUUUCCCUGAUUGGGGAUUGCAUAAAGGCUUCAUUCUUCUUCUUCUUUUUCUUUUGUGUCUAUCAUUUUCCUUUUAUUCUUUUUCAACACUUUACCCUGAUCUUUGCUGAUUUCUUAUCUUACUCUGCUUUGCAGACCCCAAUAUAAUGAAAAAACUGCAAGUGGACAGGGGUGCAAUUAAGUUUGUCCUUGCUGGAGCAAAUAUAAUGUGUCCUGGCCUCACAUCUCCUGGUGGUGUUUUGGACGAUGAUGUGGCUGAAGAAAGUCCAGUGGUACGAAUACUCUAUUAUCCUCCUUAAUAUCAUGCUGUGCUUGGAGUAUUUGUGCAUUGUCAACUGUAUCUGUAUGCUAUAGCUUGUCUCGGGAUGUCAGUUCCUGUUACUAUUCUGAUCUACUUUUGAUUAGUUUUCCUGUUUUCCUUUUUGCAAAGGCAUGAAAUAAAAUAGUUGAGGUUUCCCUUUUUAAUAUUUUCCUAAUUUAUUGAAUUGAAUAAUGCCAGGCCAUAAUGGCUGAAGGAAAGCAACAUGCUCUUGCUAUUGGGUUCACAAAAAUGUCAGCAAAAGACAUGUAAGUUAAACUACAUUAUCAUGCUUUCUUGUACAGAAGUCAGGCAUUUGUAUUUGUAUGUUUUUGUUAAUAUUUACAAAGAGGGAAAGCAUAAUACAACUCAAAUAAGAAAUAAUGAUGUGAAAAAGAAUGGAUAGGAGACUUGUUACCAUAAGAUGUAUUUUGGAAUUUGUUAAUUCAUGGAAGCAUAGCUAGUAGAGUCUACUUCUAUUAUACCCACUUGUUCAUAGAAAAUAUUGUAAAGAAAAGGAAAAAAAAAAAAAAAAAAAAACUGUACUUGGAUUAUGCCUACUUCAUUUUCCUCUAUGUUGGCAUAUGUAAGAAGUUAAACGAGUUGCUUGCGACUGCAGUAGAGCAAUCAACAAAGGAAUUGGCGUGGAUAACAUGCAUUACCUCAAUGACGGGCUGUGGAAGGUACUACUUUAUACUUAAACCUUCAUCUCUUUCUUCCUCCAUAUGCAUUCAAUGGCUCAUUUUAUUCUUUGGAAGGUUCUCAUUGUUAAAUCUCAGACUUCUUCAUUUCUCCCUCGGCUUUCUAUUCAUUUUCCUUCAUAUUCCUCAGUAAGAAAUUGUCAGAGAACUCCAAAACCAUCUUGUGAACUAACGUAUAAUGCAUGGAUCUGUCGCAUAUAGAUCUGGGCUCAAACCUUUAUUUCUGGAAAUGCGUUCCCAAGACAAACGGUUAGAAGUUGAUAUGUUAUACUUCUGGUUAUAUUUGCAGAUGGAGCGCCUGGAUUGAAGCUGCUGUGGCUGGAGGGACUGCAUUCAUCGAUGAUCUGCAGUUUUCACCGUAUCUUUAACCAAACCUUGCCUCAUGUUAUCCUUUUAUUUUUGUUCCAUAUAUAAAUGCAUAUUUGCUGCAUAGAUGGGUUGCUUUGAAUGGGCCUAUGCAAAUUCCAAGUAUGUUUUUCUGUCUUUUUUUUAGUGAAUUCAUUUUGAAUUGUGGGGGAAAUCAAACAGGUACUGGAGCUAGAUUCCCAGUUAUUCAUGGAAGAUUCACAUGAGCCACAUGAAAAUGAAAUGAUUUUUUGUAUGGAUGUUGUUUGCAUUUUAGACUGAUAGGGUAAGUAAAGACCAUGUUCUUCAGUAGAAGCUAUAGGAAGCAAGGGAAAUGAUUUCAUUUAGCUGAAGUUCUUGAUGAUGGUCAUACAGGUAGUUUUGUGUUUUAAAAAAACAUAAAACAGUUUUUAAAAUUAAAAUUUUGAUUUAUUGUAAAAGAAUAUAAUAUUUUUUAUUUUUGUAAAUUGCUUUGUCAACUAAGAAAGAAUGGCAUUAUCACUUUUACGGCAAUAGAGCGAGUUUAGGAUGGGUUGCCUUCAUCCCACAUUUAUUCAUAAUAAUUUUUAUAUCUUUUUCGUUUAAAAACCAUUUUUAAAAAUUGAGGUAGUAAAAUUUUUUUAUUGACUCAAAUAUAUUAAAUUUUAAAAAUAUAAGAUAAGUUUGGACCUUUUAUAUAAAAGUUAUUAUAUUUUAUAUAGAAAUUGUAAUUAUUUUUUAUUUUGAAAAAUAGAAAAUAUAAACUAUGUAUAAAUAAAAAUUUAGCCUUUUAUUAACAAUUUAUUUAUUUUCAACUUAAAUAUGUUGUUAAACUUCAAAAGUUAAAGGAAGAUUAUAUCAAUUAAAAAAUGUUUUUCAAAGUAGAAUAUUUAAAAUUUUAUUUUUGAGAAGUUAAACACACACAAAAAAAAAAUAAUAAUAAUGUUAAAUCAGAUAAGAUAGAUUAAUACCUUUCUAGUUUCUUCUUUUAUUAUUAUUAUUAUUAUUUAAUUAGAGAUUCUUUUAAUCAAAUAGAAAAUUCUGCAGAAGAAAUGGUGAUUGUUAAGGGAUUUGGACUGAAUAAUAUGAGGCCACACAGUUGGGCCCAGCCCGCCUUUCAUAGGUCCACAUUUCUUGGGCUUCUAAUCAGAAACCCAUAUUCCAUAAUCCCCCAUUUCAACGACACGUGUACGGCGCAAGAUUAAGGUCCACAGAGACACAGCACAGACCUCCGUAGUGAAUUCAUCUAUCAAAAGCCUCUAAAAAACCCUAAUCUCAUUUGCCUCGAAGGUCGAAGAAACCCUAACUCUCAUCUCUCUAGCGGCCUCCAACUUCAACUUCUCACAAUGGUUCUCUUCCACUCUCCCUCACUUUCCCUGGCUUUCUCGCAAUUUCUCUUGCUUUCUCACUUCUUUUGUUUUUUUUUUUUUGUCACAUUUCAAUGUGCGCAGGGGAUCGAUCUUGUCGCCGGAGGCAAGAGCAAGAAGACCAAGCGGACCGCCCCCAAAUCCGAUGAUAUUUACCUCAAGCUUCUCGUGAAGGUACUCUCUCCGGCACUCUUUCUGUGUGUGUGUAUAUAUAUAUUUAUGUGUUGUGUAUUGGAUUUGUGAUUGAGUGAUUGGAGGUUGUGAUCAGCUGUACCGCUUCCUUGUGCGGAGAACUGGAAGCAAGUUCAAUGCGGUGAUACUGAAGAGGCUGUUUAUGAGCAAGGUCAACAAACCUCCACUUUCUCUCUCCAGGUUGGUCCGUUACAUGGGGGGAAAGGUUCGUUUUUUCUCUCUGGAUCUACUCUCUUACUUGUUGAUAAAUUUAUGGCGUGUUUGGAUUUUGCUUUGUAAAACUUGUGGCGUGUUUUCUAGUGAUUUCGAAUUUCUUAUGUGCCACCUUGUUUUUUAGGGAAUAUUUUUUUCCCAUGAGAAAAGUACGAAUUUCGUCGGUGAAGUGGUGAUAUUUUCCCCGUUUUAGUUGAUCAUACAUUAUACUUAAUUAAAGAAAUAACAGGUAUUUCCUGGGAAGAUUUUCCAGGGCUACGUUUUGUUCAAACAAACGAAGAGCCCAAACAGUAAUUAGAAAUUUGAAGAAGGAUAGAGCCUUUUUGGCAGGGGAAAGCAAACAAAUGAGAACGACGUAUUACAUUGUAAAAAAUUUGUUUGGUACCAUGUUUUUUAAGGAUUGUUUAUGAAAACAUUUCCUGAAAAUGGGUCGGUUUUUAGAAAUCUUUAAGAUGUUUUUCUUUAUUUUUUAAUAAAACGGUUUGGGAAACCAUUUUUAUUUCUGCAACCAUUUUUAUUUCUGCAACCAUUUUUAUUUCUGCAAUCAUAGAGGCCGAUAACAUCUUGUUGAUGUUCUGGGGAUUUGGGUUUUUUUGGUCAAGUUUUCAGAAAACAUUUUCUGAAUUUCUGUUUACAUUAUUUCUCUUUUGGGUUUGACUGGAGAAAUUUUAAAUUGCUAAGGACUAUGAAGAUUUGCUUGGAUCUAAUCCUGCAUUUGAUAUUGCAGGAGGGAAAGAUUGCUGUGGUUGUGGGGACUGUUACAGAUGAUAUUAGGGUUUAUGAAGUUCCUGCAUUGAAGGUUACAGCAUUGAGGUUCACAGAGACUGCAAGAGCAAGGAUUGAGAAGGCAGGUGGAGAGUGCCUGACUUUUGAUCAGCUUGCACUCAGGGCUCCACUCGGACAGAACACGGUAUAGUCUAUAUUGCAUUUCUUUAAUCAGAAAGUCAUGUUGCAUUUUGAUUGAAUUUGAAAUUUAGUACAGUUAGAAAUUUGUCUUGGUUUUAUUUCUUAGUUUAAACUUCAAUGAAAUUGAAAAUUUGGUUCUAAAUUUUUAGCGAUGGAAGUUUUUGUACCAUAGGAAGUGCGGUCAGGGUUGAAGCAAUAUUUUAACACAUUCCAUCUUAAAUUUUCCUUCUUAUUUGAAGGGAAAAAACUUGAAAAUUAAGUCGUAACUGCAGUAUGUCAAUAAAAUUAACAUGGAAAGCUCCAGUAUUCAGGAUUGAGUUGUGUUAUUGAACAGUCCCUCAAUAGUUUUGAUAUGUCUCAAAUGCUUGCUAAAAAUCCAGGAGGGCUAGUAGUAGCUUUUAAAAAUUUUUGUUUUGGUUACUAGCAUUUGAGUUUUACAUACCAAGUGUCUGUAAGUUUCAGGGAUUGGUUGUUGGGAUUUGGCACAUUGUGAAUCCAGAAUGGGGCCAGCUGAAGUUUCAAUAUCAGCUGUAACUCUACAUAUUUGGCUGUGUGGUUAUGCAUUCUCAUGUCAUAACCCGGGCAAAGUGGAAGACCUUGGGACCCUUUGAGUCUCAAUAUCUUCUGCCUCCAACUGUUUAAGAUUCAAUGCUAGCUCACUAAAGUAUGACAAAGCCAUGGACACCUAACUUCUUUGUGCUUCCUAUAGUAGCUCAUCUGAAUACUUUUACAGAAAGUGACUGUUGCUGAAAAGUAACUACACUUUGCUAUAAAAAACCUGUGAAGUAACUAGCCAGUCUUCACCCAUGAAUAUGGGGGGGAUCAUCUUUUGACUCCAGUGCUUAUUAAUUACAAUGAGGAAAUGGAAACACACCGAGUUUAGUGGUUUGAUUUAUUAAACCAUUUUCGGUUGCAUUUGCAGGUUCUUCUCCGAGGCCCUAAGAAUUCUCGUGAAGCAGUGAAACACUUUGGGAAAGCUCCUGGUGUGCCACACAGCCAUACCAAACCUUAUGUGCGGUCAAAGGGACGGAAGUUUGAGAGAGCUAGGGGCAGGAGGAACAGCAGGGGGUUUAGGGUUUGAGUUAAUUAUAAUACUUAGUUGUGAGGUUGUUUGUCAUUUCUUACUAUGGCAAUUCAAAUUUUGCUAGACUUCUAGGAAUCUAUUGAAGUCAUUUGUGGUAUUUUUAUGUUCUUAUGGGUUUUCAUUUUUUAUUUGGACAACCGAACACCUGCUUAAGACUUAAAUAUCAUUUCCCUACUUUGCAACUGAUUUGUGGAAUUAAAAGAAACUAUGCUCAGAUGGUAGUUGACUAUCAAAACUUUCAAUAAAAAAGUGUUAAAUGACAUGAUCAGAUGCUGAUAAAUUUGAUUACAGAGGCAAAUGAUGCUCCUGAUUGAUUGAGCAUUCUACUCAACUGAAUGGUUGGAUGUUGUUGGUUAAGAUUUGUAUUGACUGGAUCUGAUUGGUGGAAAAGGAUGUCCUAGCAGGAUUCUCUAUAUUGAAUCAGGCUUGCAAUUAAUCAUCAUAACUCUCUGGGUAUUCAAAGCUAAUGCCAACCUAAUAAGUCAUAUGCCUAGUACCUUAUUCCUUCGAAUUGUGUGGUAUCAUGCGGUGUUAUGCAGUGGGGAUGUGGUAUCUCCAACUUGGUAACUGAGGCAGCUAGGGGUUCAAACAGGGGAUUGAAAUUGUCCAAAACUAAAGGCAGAUGGUUUGUGAUCGAGUCUUUAAUCACCAGAAGGCUCGGUUCUGUGCUGAGAUUUGAUCAAGGUUGCCCUGAAAUCGAUUAUUUUGGCCUACCAAUCCUCCACUUAAGAGAUAUAAUCUUCAUGUGAUUUCUUGGGACUUUAGAGUACGGUAAUAAAAAAAUAAGCUGGAAUGCCUGCACCAAUCCAUAUCUAACAAAGCCCAAAAAAAGGCAGAAGUUCUAACCAGAGAAGAACAAAACCCGGUAAUGUAUCUGAAGAUUAGGUAAUUACCCAGUUGAUAUAACUCAAAAAUGGCAAUAUCCAAAAUCAUUUGAUGAAAUGAUGAUUUGGAUAUGCAGAAAAAAUGGCUUCUGGGCUUCCAAGUCAUAUAGAAAUACAAUAUCUGUACACUUCUUUGAUCAUCAAUAUGGUGAAAAGCAAUUGCGGAGAGCAGAAAGGAAAGCAACAAGAAAGAACUCCAUACUUUUCUUGGACACUGAGGAUACAGAUAUAACAAGCGAAUUUCCUACUAUAUAGUGGUACCAACUUGAGCUAAAGAUGAUAACAUGAAAUCCAAUGCUCACAAGAAACACGACUCAAAAACAGCAGAUUAGAACUUCCUGAUGAAAUCCACAAUGUAAUUGUUGAUUUCCUCUGCUUUUUCCUGGUUGAUGAAGUGACCGGCUCCUUCAAUUAUAACAAUAUCCUCCAAACAUGGCACAUCUUUCUUGAAGGCACCAGAGUCUACAUAUUCCUUCACCCCUGGAGUAGUAUAGACCAUGUCCAGAUCGCCUACGACAAAUUUAACCGGAACUCUCACUUGCUCCCCUGUCCAUGGUGCCGUGAGCUCCCAAUUUCUGCAACAAGGACAGAAAGCAUUACAUCUGAAUACAAUAGGCCAAAAUUGGAACUGCCCUGAAAUGAGAAGAGGCAGGCCUAAGAAACAUACAAAUCCAAAGCUCUGUAGUAGUUCAACCCUCCAGUGAAGCCUUUCUCAUCAUAUUUUCUGGCAUAGUAGUUAAGGUCUUCUUCUGAAAACCAAGAGGGCAAGGGACUGGGAGGAAUGGCUUUGAUUCCAAAUGGAUUUUCUUUAGGCAAGCAGGGAGGACCCGGUUUGCGAUCUGUUAGAAUUCUCUUGAGUACUUCUUUGCUACCGAGACGGGCAAUCUCAGCUUCAAUCUCCCCAGGCUUCUACAGGACAAACAGCAAAAACCAAUGUAAGAGAAACAAAGGGCAGUAUACAUAUAAUGCAUCAGAGCCAAAAUCCUGAAAAGGCAAAUGAAUACACAAUCUUCUGAUAUUUGCAAGGACUGUAAAAAUCCUGAAAACCCAAUUAUUCUCUCAUUAAUCUGUGGAUGUUACACUCAUUUAUCAAAGAUUUAGACUACAUAUGCUUCAUUAUUAAGACUCAUUCCUCCUUGCAUGUAAAGAAAAACAAAACCACCCCUUGAUCAGAAUCACAAAUGGAGCAGACUGCAACUUUUUUUUUUUUUCAUUUCAAAUUCAAGUAGGAAUUAAUGAUUUGUGUGCUUAGGCAGGUGUGUCAUAAUUAUCUGAAAGAGGGCUCACAGGAUCAGGACAUGAGAAUGACCUCUAGGAAUCGUUUCUCAAAAUGGAAAAAAGCCUUUUAUCAUGACUGUUAGAUUGUGCUUCUAGAGAAAGAAUUCAAAAAAAAAAAAAAAAGAAACCCCACAAGCUAAAUCUACCAAAAGGGUGGAGAAGAUAGAGAAACCUGAAAUCUGCACAUGUAGUAGUCAUCUCCAAAGAAAGCUCUCAUCCCUUCAAUUGGCCUAAUCUUGGGGUUCCUGGGCCUGAAGGGGACAGUAAGGGACACAUAUGCCUUCACUCUAUCAGGCCUAAAGAGGCACAUAUACCACCCUAUCUGAGCACCCCAGUCAUGUCCCACAAGGAACACCUUAUCAGCUCCAAGACAGUCUAUAAGAGCAAUAAGAUCACCAACAACAUGAAGGCAAGUGUAGCUGGUGAAUGAAGCUGGAGCUUCGGAAUCACUGUAGCCCCUCAGAUCAGGAGCCACAGCAUGGUAUCCAUGUGAAGCCAUGGCAAUGAUCUGAUGCCUCCAUGUAUACCAAAGCUCAGGGAAGCCAUGUAGGAACAGCACAACUGGGCCUUGUCCUUUCUCUGCUACAUGCAUUUUUAUGCCAUUAACACUCACCAUUCUAUGCUCUAUUCCCUCCAUCUCCCUCUCUCACUCUUGUCUCCUGAGUCUCUCUCUCUCUCUCUCUCUCUCUCUCUCCCUCUCCCUCUCCCUCUCCCUCUCCCUCUCCCUCUCCCUCUCCUUCCUCUCUAGCUGUGAUUCAUGUGGGGAGAAACUUGGGUUUCAGGGUUUUAAAGUAGAGAGGAGAGUAGGGGAGAGUAAAUGCACUUCAUUCAGAGUAGAGUGUGCCAUUAGUACUUGGAUAGAGGUUAGGAAAAAGCCGGUGUUUUUUUCCUUUUCUUUGGAGACACCAAUAGUAUAAAACCCUAGCUAUAAAUGCCAGAGAGAGAGACAGUCCACCGAAUGGAGUUGUUUCAAUUACGAUAUGGACUACAAUUUGCCAUGCUCCGACGAUCACUUAUUUGGAUUAGACUUGGAUGACUAUUUCGGUCCCAAAAACCAACUCACCCAAGUUGAAGUCAAGGUAAGGGUAACAUAGUAAUCAAACCCACAAAAUUUCAAGCCCGGGUGCAACCCUAAACCAACUCGCAACCCCAAACCAACUCACCCAAGUUGUAGUCAAGGUAAGGGUAACAUAAUAAUCAAACCCACAAAAUUUCAAACCCGGGUGCAACCCCAAACCAACUCACCCAAGUUGAUGUCAAGGUAAGGGUAACAUAAUAAUCAAACCCACAAAAUUUCAAACCCGGGUGCAACUCCAAACCAACUCACCCAAGUUGAAGUCAAGGUGAGGGUGACAAAAUAAUCAGACCCACAUAAAGUUUAAAACAAAAUUUCAAACGCUCAUAGAAUCCCAAACCAACUAACCUAAGUUGAAGUCAAGGUGACGGUGAUAUGAUAAUCAAACCCCAUCAAAUUUAAAACAAAAUCUCAAACCCAUUUUAACUUUGAUCAAGUCCUCCCUACACUAGUCCCAAUAUUGGGAGUAUUUGUCCUAUUAUCAUAUCUCAAUAUACCAAAUAUUUUUUACUUUUUCAUCUAGAUUUAAACCUUUUAUAUCUAUUUUUAUUAAUAUUUAAAAGAGAGUUUAUAAACCCCUCUAAAUGAGGUGAGUGUGUGUGUGUAUAUACACUAAUUUUGUACUUAAUUUGUGCUUGAUUGGUUGUUAUAACAUAUAGCAAAUUUAGUUUGUGGUAAUAUGACAUCAAAUUUAUCACAUUUUUCCAUAUACCUUUCAUUAUUAAAAAGAGAGUAGUUGGCGUAAAGUAGUCAAGUCUAUUCACAAUAAUUCUCUCAAAAGAGGGUUAGAACAUGUGAUGCAUGCCCAUAUACGUGUGUGCAGGCUCUGCCCAUACUUCAAUCCAUGUCCUUGGAGUUCUUGUGAAUGCAUGAUGGUUAAUUAUGACCCUAUUCCACAACUCUUAACUAAUCUCCUUUAAGUAGAAGGGUGGAAUAUGGACAUUUUUCUAAGGGUACAAACGUUUCAUAAGGAAAAACUUUCAAUAAUUUAGGGGUCACCCCUCAUUAAUACCACAUGGGAGCAUUAAAUUGUCAAAUUCUUUUAAUUGGAUUAUAAGAUACAAAUCAUUAUUCAUAGUCUUGUAGGUAGAGAGAUAUAAAUAACAUUCAUUAAUUUGAGUUUGACAUAUUCUUAUUUUGUGUGUGAUGAAUUUAUAUAUAUAUAUAUAGUAUCAAAAAAUUUCAUUUCUAUUUCUAAUACUUGUCCUAAUUCCAAUGAUUGUCUAACCCUAUCAUAAAAGCAAGAGUUUGCAUAAUAGACAUGUCAAAUACCCUCAGUCAAACUAACCUCAACCUCAAUAUAUUUUAUGGUUUCAUCUAUUUCUUAGUAAAACUUUGCUUUUAGGGUUGGUGCUUUUUUUUAUUAUUGUCAACAAAUGAUAAAAUGCUCUUAAAACUUUAAAUUAUUUUGAUAAUAAAUGUACCCUCUUCAAAAAAAUACUAAAUCUUAAAGCCACUAGGACAGUUCUUGAUAACCUAAUUAAGCAUUUUUGUAUGAUUUCAAUGCCUUUCACCCACUAUUUUUUAGUUUUUUACAAAUAAGAAAUUUAACAAAAUCUCAAUAACAAAUAAUCUAACUAAAAUUCAACUCUACUCUUUAAUGCUCGCACUCGCAUGAAAUAUAAAAUAUAUUUUCUUAACACAUAUUUCUCACAAAAUCCUGGUAUUUUGUUUUCUUAGUACUUCCUUAACACGAACUUUAUCGAAUCUCGAAUAAUUUUAUUAUUGUAAACAUGAUUUUACAGAAAUAUUAAUAUAUAUAUAUAGUGUUAAUUACUUAACAUGAUUUUAUUGAAACCCCAAUAUUUUGUUCUCGUUAACACCUCCUUGAUAGGACUUUAUUGAAAUUCUAAUAUUUUAUUUUUCUAAUGAUUAUUUAAUAUGACUUUAUUGAAACCUUAAUAUUUUUAUCCUUGUAACAUUUACCUAACAUGCAUGGCCUUCAUCAAAACCCUAAUAUUUUGUUUUCCUAAUUCAUACUUGGCAUGACUUUACCCAAACCCUAAGCACUCGCUUGGCCUAGAAUGCUUGUCCACAAGUGCUAGAAUAGAGCUAAAUGGAGCUUGUAAAUUGGGUGGCCAAACACAAAACUCUAAAAUGAAAUGGUCAACCAAGCAAUUACACCCCUUCUUCAAAACCAACACGUGAUUAAAGACAUCCUUCACAUGCCCUACUUGUUUGAUGUUUUUCCCUUCAAGUUCUUAGCCCAAUACCCACCACCCCCAACAAGAAAAUCUCCCAAAAUUCCCACCAACCAAACAAGAAAACCAGCUACAAAGACAUGAACACAAUCUCUGGUGUCUUCUUCAUCCUAAUUCUUGCCUUCUGGCCACAUCAAAUCUUGGCCCAAGAGGACCAGGACUUAGGAUUAAUCAUACCAAAUCAGAAAUCAUCAUUAGGGGAGGAGCUGAUCGCCCAAGUUUGUGAUCAUGCAAUCUACAAGGAUCUGUGCAUAAGUUCCCUACAAUCAGUCCCAGAAAGCAAGGAUGCAGACCUCUUUGAGCUUACCACAAUUGCACUAAAACUUGCUGCAACAAAUGCUACUGAAAUCAAAAAAUAUGUUCAGAAGUUGCUUAACAAGUCUCAUUCAGACCGCUAUACACACCAAUGCCUAGCUGAUUGUUCCGAAAACUAUGAAGAUGCGCUGGAUCGGAUUGAGGACUCAUUGAAAGCUCUGGAAUCCAAGGGAUACAAUGAUGUUAACACAUGGGUGACCGCUGCCAUGGCGGAUGCCGAGUCAUGUGAGGAGGGGUUCCUUGAUCGUCCAGGCCAUAAGUCUCCAUUGACUGGUAGAAGCACAAUAUUUAACCAGCUAUGCAGUAUUGCUUUAACCAUUACCAACUUCUUAUCUGGUAGUGUUUGAUCUUUUGGCUUUUUAAGUACUAUUCUCUAGCCAUGGUUGUUGGUCCCAUUUCAUCUAUAUUGAUUGAUUUUCAGGCUCUACUUUCUUAGCUUUCUUUCUGUAUUUCAUGCCAAGUUCUGUGGCAAAAGGGUUGAUGAAAUUAAUCUUCAAUCUAUAAUGCCAGAAUGCAUUUAAUUCAAACCCCUUUUAAAUCUACAGUCUUUAACAGACUUUAGUAUGCAUAAUGAAUGAUAUUUAUGUUUUACCAACUGGAAUCCAUGCCAUCCUUUUGGGAUUUUUCAUGAUUAUGUGGCUAGGGAGCAACUGACCAAAUGGGGGGACCCAAGAAAUUAAGUACAUGAGCAUAUAUGCAAUGGGGCAACAGAAGCGAGGCUUCCUUAAUUGAAACAGUUUCAUCAAAUUGGUGAAGUGGUGCAAGCCAUGUUAGGUGACCAUGUUAGAGUCACUAUCGAUGAUUGAUCGAUCCAUCGAUCUCAUGAACUCGAUUUGGUGAUGAACAAUGACCCUCUGGAAGUAAAAGGCCAACAAGCAUGCAUGGACACAAAGCUUAGUAGUAAAUGAUUUCCAAAGCAUAGCUAGAGGUCCCUUGUGGACCAAGCUGUGCCUGGCCAUAUUUGUACAUAUCUCAAAAGGAAUAGCCAACAGUUUUCCAUCUAAAAACUUUUGUAUUCUUUCACCAACUCUGUCACUUUCCAUUGUGCCAAACACUUGGGUUGAAGAUGGACCAUUAGUAUAAGGCGGUUUAAGUUUCCAACUUCUGAAAUAAAAUGGAAAUCUUGAAUUGAUCAUUCAGCAGCCUGCAACAUAUGGCAAUAAAUACCCUCCUUCAAUGGAGAACUGCAACACUGAAACAACUCCUGAAAGUGAUGCAUGGAUGACUCCUGAUUUUAUUUGCAUACAUUAAUGGCCUCACCAACUUGUACUUCAACUUCUUCAUGGCCAAUACUUUGACUGUUGAUGUGCAACAUUAUUAGAUCUUUUCAUCAUUUUUUCCUGAUGUUAAUUAGAUUAAGCUAACAAGUGAUUAAUCACAUUAAUGGCGGCAUAACAGAUUUCGGUUUAUAGUUUCUGGUUAGCACCUUGGCCAAGUUACAGAUUGGAAAUUCAAGGCGAAUGAAAGCCACAAAAGUAUGGUUUUUAAUCAAAAUGUCAUCAAGAAAGGGAUUGUCCCAAAAGGAUUAACGCCUUGUUUAGUAAUUGUUUUUAAAAAAAUAGUUUUUAACAAUAGUUUUAGAAAAAUAUUCUGUGAUAUUUUGUAAAAUAAAAGUCUAUUUAGGAAUUUAAAAUGUUUUUAACCUCUUUUUAAUAUUUUUAAAAUAAUUUUUAUGUUCACAACUUUAUUUUUAAUAAUUAUAUAUAUGUUAGUAUAAUUAUUUUUUAAAAUAGCUCUCAAAAAACAACCGAAAAUAACUAAAAUAUAUUCUUUGAAAACACCAUGUUAUUUUCUGAUAACAAAAAACAAUUUGUGGUUGUCUACCAUAUUUUUCAGUUUUUUUAUAUUCUAGAAAAUAGAAAAUUGUUCUUGAAAAUAGUUUUUAAAAAUAUGUUUUAAAAAUAAUUUUUAUGUCUAGUGUUUUAUUUUUUAAUCAUUCUAUAUAUUUAUAUAAUCAUUUUUUUAAAUAGCUUUAAAAAAUAAGUAAAAAUAAUAUAAAACAAUUAAAAAUAGAAAACAAAAAACAAUUUUUUAUUACCAAAUGUGUUUUCCUAAUUUUUUAUUUUGGAAAUAAAAAACUGUUCUUGUAGUUAUCAAACAUACCUUAAGAUUUUGUUUUGUAACUCAUUUUUAAAAAACAGUUUUUGAAAAUUAUUUUAAAAAUUUUCUCAUAAAAAUAUUUAAAAAAUUAAAAUAUUUUUAAUAUGUUUUCAUAUUUUUAAAAUAAAUUUUAUAUAUAGUAUUUUAUUCUUAGCCAUUUUCUAUAUUUAUACCGUUAGUUUUUAAAACAGCUUUUAAAAAAUAAAUGAAAACAAUUAAAACAAAACACUUUUAGUUUGUAACAAACAUGUUUUCCUUUUUUUUUUAUUUAAAAAAUAAAAACUAUUCUCGAAAACAAUAAACCCACGAGCCCUAAGGCGCCGUUUGGUUGUUACUCAACCAUUUUGAGUAAGUUAGAAGUCUUUCAAGUUUGAAAGAAUCUACAAAUUUGACGGGUGAAGUGAAGUUCAAAGGGGCUUUGACUGAGAUGCUUGCAGAAGGGUAAAAGAGAUGUGUAGAAUGGUGCAUAAAUUCAUCUAUGGUAAGUGUCACACCCCUGAAUCUCACUCUAAAUUUUUCACGAGUGUGAGGUGCUAAGUGAUAAGGAUAUACAAUCAAGUUGAGAAAGUCAAGGGAGAAAAUCAAGGGAUUUCCACGUUUGAAUAUCUGUAGUUAUACCAUUUAUUUGUAUUAUUAGAUAGUUACUCAAUUUGUUUUGUUUCCUAUUUCUUUGUAAUCAGUUUCAUAUUUUCGUGCUCAUGCAAUCUGUAUAUAUGCUAACCACAUCAAUGAGAAUUGGUAGGCUAUAAUUCUUCAAUUUCUCUCUUCCAAAAAUCCUUUAUGGUAUCAGAGCAAAGGUUUGCUCUUUAAUUUUUUAUUUUUUUUUUAUUUUUUUCCCAGCCACAUCCUUCAAUCUUCAGCAAGCCUUUCAUCCUCCUCAUUCCAAUGGCUACUGAGAAUACUCAAAUCAUCAUCUCUAAUGCCCAGGAACCCACAAAACCACUAACCAUGAUUACUAUCCAUAACUCCAUUAAACUCACACCCACCAACUAUCUUUCUUGGAAAACCCAAAUGGAAGCCAUUCUCAUCGGCUAUGAUCUACAAAAAUUCAUUGAUGGAUCCCACCCUGCUCCUCCAACCACCAUCACCACCAAUAAUGUUGUCUCUACUAACCCUGCAUACCAAACAUGGCUACGUCAAGUCAAACUAUUAUUUGGCGCCCUUGUCGGCACUCUCUCACCUACUCUAGUUCCUCUCAUCACCCAAUCAAAAACCUCUUAUGAAGCCUGGCAAAUAUUGGCCAACACCUAUGCUCGCCCAUCUCGUGGCCAUAUCAAGCAACUCAAAGACCAUCUUAAAAACAUCACCAAAGGUUCUUAGUCCAUUACAGACUACAUGCAGUCCAUUAAAACCCGGGCCGAUGAACUUGCUGCUCUUGGUAAGCCUCUUGACCAAGAAGAUCUGAUUGAAAAAGUACUUGAAGGCCUUGAUGAAAAUUAUCAGUCCAUCAUUGAUGUUGUCAACGGUCGUGAUUCCACCAUCUCUUUUGAUGAACUCCAUGAAAAACUCAUCAACAAAGAAUUGUCUCUCCGCAAUAAGAUAAGCCCCUCACCCCUACCGGCAUCUACUCAUGCCACCAAUGUUCGCUCCACUCCAUGGUCUGUCACCAAUCGCACUCCUCGGCUCCCUGGGUCCACAUCCACACCCACUCAAGGUAUCAUAAGAAAUUUUCCCACCAACACCCGCGACAACCGUCCUCCUGCUCGUCCAUUCCUUGGUCGCUGCCAAUGGUGCAGUACUCAAGGUCAUGUAGUCUCCCGUUGUCCUCUUUUCAAACAACAGUUUCCAUAGGUGCAACCACCUCCUCGUCCCGGUAAUUCAUCACAAUUUCGACCACCAGCUUCCUGGCAAGCUCAAGCAAAUGUUGCAACCACCAUUCCCCCCAACACCACAUGGCUACUUGAUAGUGGAGCCUCACAUCAUGUCACCACUGACCUACACAAUCUUGCUCUCCACAGUCAUUUUGAUGGCACAGAUGAAAUUAUGAUCGGCGAUGGCUCUGGUCUCCCCAUAUCUCACACUGGUUCCACCUCUCUUACCACUCCCUCUCACUCCUUUACUCUAUCUAAUGUUUUAUGUGUUCCCACCAUGAAAUGUAAUUUUAUUUCUAUUUCUCAAUUUUGCAAGUCUAACAAUACUUCCAUUGAGUUCUUACCCUCUUCUUUUCAUGUGAAGGAUCUUCACACAGGGGCAAUCCUUUUGCAGGGUCGAACUAAGGAUGGUGUGUAUGAAUGGCCACUCUCCACUACCCAGUCACGUCCUCUAAUUGCGUUUUCUAGUGUCAAGACCACUUUGUCCGAGUGACAUCAUAGGCUCGGUCAUCUUUCUUUGUCAAUCUUCAAAAAUAUUAUGUCUUCGUUUCAUUUAGAUGUCUCUCGUCCGUCCAAUUUCAAUUUUAAUUGUAAUUCGUGUCAAUGCAAUAAAAGUCAUAAAUUACCAUUUUCUACUUCUACUCUCUCUACCUCUUCCCCUCUUGAAGUUAUAUUUACUGAUAUAUGGACAUCACCAGUCUACUCUACUGAUAACUUUAAGUACUAUGUCAUCUUUGUCGACCAUUUUAAAAAUAUAUCUGGCUUUAUCCCCUCAAACGCAAAUCCGACACGCAUGAUGUCUUUGUGCGCUUUAAGGCCCUAGUCGAAAAAUUCUUUAACCGUCCAAUUAUAACUUUCUACUCUGACAAUGGGGGGGGAAUAUCAAGCUCUCUCCUCAUUCUUAACAAUCAACGGGGUCUCACGUCUUACUUCUCCACCUCACACUCCUGAACACAAUGGGUACUCUGAACGUCGUCAUCAUCACAUUAUCGAAACGGGUCUUUCUCUACUUACCCAUGCAUCCAUGCCUCUAUCAUAUUGGCCUUUUGCCUUUUCUACUACCGUCUACCUCAUCAAUCGUCUUCCUACACCAACUCUAAACCACCUCUCACCAUAUUUAAAGCUCUUUGGCACAUUCCCUAACUACUCCAAACUUCGAAGCUNNNNNNNNNNNNNNNNNNNNNNNNNNNNNNNNNNNNNNNNNNNNNNNNNNNNNNNNNNNNNNNNNNNNNNNNNNNNNNNNNNNNNNNNNNNNNNNNNNNNGUUGCGCCAAUUUCUUCUCCAAUUUGGCUUCAUCAAUUCCAUUGUCGAUACCUCCUUGUUCAUCUUCAAUAACCGUGGCACCAUUUUUUAUCUUUUAGUCUAUGUCGAAGAUAUCAUUAUCACUGGGAAUAAUGUUGAAACAGCACAGACUUUCAUUCAACAACUUUCUCAGCGCUUCUCUCUCAAGGACCUUGGCCCCCUGACAUACUUCCUUGGAGUGGAAGUUACCUCCCACACCAAUGGUCUUUUCCUCAAUCAACGCAAAUACAUUGUCGAUCUACUUAACAGAACUCACAUGACUGAAGCCAAGCCUGCUCCUACACCACUAGCAACUAGUCUGAUUCUCACUUUAUAAUCAGGAACCCCACUAUCUGACCCGAACGAGUAUCGAACAGUGGUUGGUAGCCUCCAAUAUCUCUCCCUCACUCGGUCGGACAUUGCCUAUACGGUGAACAAACUCUCUCAGUUUAUGCAUCAACCGACAAGUGACCACUAGAAUGCAGUCAAGCGUCUGCUGCGGUAUCUCUGUGGCACCUUAGACCACGGCAUCACACUUCGUCGGACCUCCCCACUAGCACUUCAUGCCUUUUCUGACUCUGAUUGGGCAGGUAACAAAGAUGAUUUCACCUCCACCAGUGCAUACAUAAUCUAUUUGGGUCACAAUCCUAUUUCUUGGAGCUCUAAGAAACAACGAACUGUGGCUCGCUCUUCCACUGAGGCUGAAUACCAAUCGGUGGCCUCUACUGCUGCGGAAAUUCGUUGGAUUUGCUCUCUCCUCACCGAACUCGAUGUCACUCUUCCCCAAUAACCAAUUAUUUAUUGUGAUAAUGUUGGUGCAACACAUCUCUGUUCCAAUCCGGUCUUUCACUCGCGCAUGAAACAUGUUGCCCUCGACUAUCACUUUAUCCGAGAACAGUUCAAAAUGGUUNNNNNNNNNNNNNNNNNNNNNNNNNNNNNNNNNNNNNNNNNNNNNNNNNNNNNNNNNNNNNNNNNNNNNNNNNNNNNNNNNNNNNNNNNNNNNNNNNNNNAAACCUCUUGCUCGUCCUCAGUUUGACUCACUCAAGGCCAAGAUUGGACUUACUCCACGGCCGUCCAUCUUGCAGGGCCAUGAUAAGGAUAUACAAUCAAGUUGAGAAAGUCAAGGGAGAAAAUCAAGGGAUUUCCACGUUUGAAUAUUUGUAGUUAUACCAUUUAUUUGUAUUAUUAGAUAGUUACUCAAUUUCUUUUGUUUCCUAUUUCUUUGUAAUCAGUUUCCUAUUUUCGUGCUCAUGCAAUCUGUAUAUAUACUAACCACAUCAAUGAGAAUUGGUAGGCUAUAAUUUUUCAAUUUAUCUCUUCCAAAAAUCCUUUACUAAGAACCCUUCCUUAGCCAACCUUUCUUCCCAACCUUUAGAAAAACACAGUAAAAGCAAACUAAGAACAAUGUAACAGGGACACAAACGAGAUUACAAGAACCUUUCCCAUCUUGUAUUAAACUCUCUACAAGACACAAAAUUGUUUCCCCUGAGUUAGAGAACAAUGCUCACACGCCAAGCAUUAAGAGAACCAUAUCCCCCAUCUCUCAUCUCUGUUCUCUCAAGGAUGCAAAAACCCUUUUAAAAUACCUAGCCUGCAGUUACAUUUUGAAUUUCCAAAUUCAAAACUUGGAGCCAAUCUGGUGGUUAUGCAAUUGGUCAAAACCGCCCAUAACUGCCUUGCAUAACCACCCACCACCCAGAUAGUGGCCUGCUCGUGAACCACCCACUUGCACCAACCAACUGCAAGUCAAUUGACUGCUUGACUUGAUCACUUGCUGUCCCAGCUAGCUGCCACUAGCUAGUUGUCAUCUCCUCAAGCCUUUCUCACCAAGCUGCUGGAGAGUCCCCCUAACAAGCUGCCUCCUUCCCCGUAAGGUGCCUCUUGUGAUCAAGUGUCCACCAACGUAUCUUUGAUCAAGGCCUUUUGAACCAGGCAGCAUGCACUAACUGACCAAGUGUUUGGUGCAUUAGUGUGUCUUCCCCACACUAAUGUGUGAGCCCAUGCCAUGUCUAGGUGCCCAUGGCCUGGGCAUGUUGCUUGCUUCCACUGUUAGGUCCAGCUCCAUAGCAACAAGUCAUGGCAUUGCGCCCAUGGCUAAUCCCUCUUGGUGCACAGGGCAUUGUGCCUUUGUGCUAUGCGUAGGCAUUAUGGGUGUGAGUCAACUGUUGUCUAGUGCCCCAUUAGACCAUGGCAUUGCACCCAUAGCUUCCUCGGCUGGCUCACCACACAAGGCUGAGGCGCCCUCGUGCCUGCGCGGGGAGGAGGUAGGCCACACCAGGCCCCAUGCCUUUACGGCCAUGAGGUGUACACCACACAUGUCGUGGAGCCCAUGUGUGUAUGCUCAUAUGUCGUCUGUGUGUCCUAGGCACACCCAAGGUCGUGCCAUAGUGCCCCCUUGGUGUGGUCAAAGCUUUCCCUUGAUGCUCCAUUGCUCCUCCUUAAAGAGUAAUACAAGUUGUUUUCAUAGUUUCUGGAGGAGACAUCAAUAUGUUUGAGGAGACAUAAUGAAAUAUUAAAUAAAUAUAAAUUAAAUUACAAAAAUAACCCUCAGCCUUACACCGCAUAAGCUUGGUGCGCGCGUGGUGCUCAUCUGGUGCACACGCGAUGCCUGUCUGGCUUGCUCACGAUGCGCAUCUGGCUUUCUCGCGAUGUGCGUCUGACUUGCUCACGAUGUGCGUCUGACUUGCCUGCACCGCAUGUCUAGCUCGCGCAUGGCCUCCUGACUUAGCUCCUAGAGUUUGAACCACCAAACCUUCAGAUCUUCCUUGCUCUCUCCGUCUAAGCUCUCAUGGGUGUAAGACUUACCCAUGAAACCCUUUCCUCCAUAGUUGAGUUAAGUGGUUAAGGGGUUGAGUUAAAUGGUUAAGGGGCUGACAAUAAGCCUCCAAUCAAUUGAUUCUAUUUAUUAGAGCAAAAGAGUUUUUGAGUGGUUAAAUUUUAGAAGGAAUCUUUCUUUUUUUUGUCUUUUUUCUUUUCCAUUAUUUUUUUUAUCCCUAGUAAGAAGUGGUAAUGCUUCCACAUUCUUUGGGUCUGCUUAUUAGGAACUAAAGAAAAAAAAAAGUUUUUAAAGUAUAUUUUAAAUUUUUAAUUAUUUUCUCAAGUUUAUUUUAAAAAAAAAUCAUACAAAAAAUAUUAAAAAUAAGACCAUAUAAAAAUUAUUUAAAAAAUAUAAAAACAAAUUAAAAACAUUUGGAUUCUCUUAUCAAAAUAUAAAAAUCAGAUUAAAAACAUUUUAGGUUAUUUAACCAAAAUAUAAGUAGUGAGAAUUUUCAAAACUAUUUUUUAAAAAUAAUUUUUAAAAACACUUCCAACCUAUAUUCAUUUUAAUCUUUUAACACUUUCUUUUUUUUUUUUUAAGAUUUAUUUGAAAAUACUUGUUGAAACUACACUUUCAAUAUAAAUUUAAAAACCCUAUUUUUAAACAUAUGAUUUCAGACCCAUAUUUAUUUUGGUUGGUUUGACAUCUUACAGCCAAAAGCAUCAAAAGAUCUCACUUUCCCAGAAAAUUUUCUCAGAGAUUUACACAGAAAAUGGAGCCAUCUCAGUGAUGACAGACACAUGGUUCAAAACCCUAAUGCCCAAUCCAGAGGUGGAUCCAAUUAAAUGCCAAGAACCAGAAGACUGCAAAAUAAGCAGCAGUGGGAUUAAAAAAACAAGAGGUUAUUAAAUGUGUGCUUCACCACAGCCAAACACACCCUUGAUUCAUAUGAACCAAACAGUGAGAUUAAAGAAAUGGGGUUUGGGGGAAUUGUAAGCCAAUAACAUUGGAGCACAUCUCCAUCGAGAAAUGGGGAGAAGACUCAAGCAGAAUGGAUCAUUUUGUUUCUUUAUGCACAGAUAAAAUCCUGGAAAUCAUCUUCUGUGUGGAUUUCCAAGAAGAACUAUGUGCAACCCUUGUGAUUCUUCUUUGGAAAAUCAACCAAGGAAGGAAAAAUAAAACCCUAGAAAGAAAUUAGACCCAACCCACUACAUUGUAGAUGGAGAGAGGCCAGCGAGGGAGGCCACAGUCAAGAACUCU